AGUGCCGAUUAUAGAUGAUUAAGCUGGAGAAUUUUCUGUUUAAUUAUCCCAAAAAAAGAGAAAGCUAUGUAUUUUGAUUUAAAUUUCAUUAUUAAUUAAUAUCUUUUUCAAAAUAUUUUCGUAUUUAAUCACAACAUUUAUUUUUAAAAUAUAGAAACAUUUAAUUUCUCCCAAUUUAAAUAAGUAUAAUUAUCGUUAUAUAUUUUUAAAUUAAAACAUAAACUAAAGAUUACACUCUUACUAUAAACAUAAUUAUGUAUGAAUAUCUUAUUGGUGUAUAUCAUUUUCGCUCGUAUGUAAACAAAGAAAUUCAUAGGAAACAUUACACUGAAGAAUACCACAAAACAUGGAAUUAAAGAGGAGGCUCCGACAAAAAACCACCUGAAAACUCUUUACGGUGUACCGGCCAUAAUUAAUAAAUCAUGAUGAGAAAUGCGGUUGGUUGGAUCCGGUGUAAAGAAGUCUUCAAUUCAGUGACCUAAUGUCCUGUAAAAUCCUUUAUAUUUGGCCUCCCUUGAAAAACGUUGGAACGAACAGUCAAGAUAUAUGUAAUUAAAGCUCAGUCAACUUAUUUUUCUGCCCUUAUAAGUGAGAGGGAGUGUCGUGUAAGCGUUUGAGAAAUUUUAUAUUAUUGCAGAAAUAACUAAUAAUAAUAAUUCAAAAAUAAAAUAAAAGGUUGAAAAAAUCUAGAGCAAUUAUAUCAGAAGGUUAAUUUUCAGAAGAGAGAUAAAUAAAACAUGAAAGAAAAAAAAUCUAAACUCACCAAGAAUGAUAAUAAUAUUUUCAAUUAGGCUAAAAAUAUAUAUUUUUAAUUUUCUUCUCUUCCUUUUGUAUCUGUAUGAUCUCUCAUAUAGAGUACUAAGCAUUGAUGAUUAAUUUUCAAGUACUCUAAAAUUUCUCGAGAAAAUCAUAUUCAAACCUACAAAAAUAUUUUAAUUUUUUUUAAUUCUCUAACACUUCUAUGUUAUAUAAAUAAUUAUCCUUUAGUACUCUAAAAUAUCUCUCAUCCCAUCUUUAUUAGUUGUUUAAUUAACUAAUUAUGAUCAAAUUUAAAUAAUUUAUAUUAUUAGGAGUACCAAUAUAAAUAAUAAUUAUUAAUUACAAUCUAAUAUAUUUUUUUUUUUUUUGCCCUUGAUGAUUAUCAAAAUUUAAAGAUAGAAGAAAAAAAAUCAAUAUAAACACCAAAAUUUAGAGUUAGAAAUUGAAAAUCAGUAGUUGAGAAACAAAGAGGAUGGUUCAUGGUUAUGCAAUGCUUACGCUUUGGUAGCAGCAUAGAUUGUGAAGAGGGGAUGUGAAGGCAUGACACUAGAAGCUCCAGAGCCAAUAUUAACAAUGGCACCUCUUUUCCUCUGAAUCAUCCCUGGUAAAACUGCUCUAGUAACUCUACUAGUGCCCUCCAAAUUCACUCUAACAAUGUCCAUCCAAACUUUCUCAUCCACCUCGUGGAAAAACCUGGCUGCGGGGUAUGUGAUUCCCACGUUAUUUAUCAACAAACCAACAUUUAGUCCCUCUACGGCCUUUUCCAUAACUCCUUGGAUAGUACGAGUGGAAACUUUGCUUGAAAAAUCAAACACCACUGUCUUAAUCUUGGUGCCUGGAUGUUCUGCUAGGAUUUCACUCGAGACUGUUUUGAGCUUGUUGGGGUUUCUACUCACUAAUAUAAGGUUUAGACCCUUUUGAGCUAGUUGAUGAGCAAAGGCUUUCCCUAUACCGUCUGUAGCUCCAGUGAUGACAGCCCAGGAGCCAUAGUCUUUGAGAUCCUUUUUUGGUCUGAGAAACGUUGCAUAGACCCAGUUGAGAAGAAGGGUUGAGGUUUUGAGGAAGGAGAUAAAUCCAAGGGAUGAGAAAAGAAGAAGCCACAUGGGCUGGGUUAAGAGGUGGUUGGUGCAUGCUGAGAGCAUUCUUCUUCUUCUCUUUUUCUUGGUGCUUUUGAUGAGAAAGAAUAUGAUCUAUUUUGCUUGAGUUCAAAGACAUGCAAGGACUUUCGGCUGGUCCCUGGUAUUGGCAAUGAUAUAUGAUGAUCAGCUAGCAAUAUUGACGUUUACGCCUCAGCUGUCAAUUUGGCCAUGAUUCGUGUGGGUGCAUGUGGUUGUCACAUUAUAGCUGUGAGGUCACUCGUACCUCUCUCUCGAAUGCAUGCCAGUACAAACGGCUAGCUGCAAUGAACAAACUAGCUAGUUGCCGGAAAGGAAGAGUACUCGGCAUGCAAGAGGUUCAGUUUUCUGGUUUAAAAAUUAAUCUGGCGCUAGCUAACUGUUUGAUUAACCCUUCAAACCGAGCUUCAUGGCACUUGACACAGAAUAAGGUUUGGUCCACAGCAAAGAACGGGUCAUUGUCGAGUGGCUCAGGUCUGGCUCAAAUGGUCUGCUAUGCAAAGGAAUUGGGUGUGCUUUUAAAUAAUGUCUGGUCCACGUACAGCUGCCACUGCCACUGCCACUGCCACUGCCACUGCCAGUUGAAUAAAAACUUAUUGAUAUUUUUCUUAUAUUUGCUCCCAGGGCAAUGUUAAUAUGAAUAAAUGGAAGAUCUUAAUCGGGUUUUACACAAUUAUAUAAGUUAAUUAAAUUAAUUAACUCCCAAAAUUGAGCUAACAGUUUGAUAGAAAAUUUUUUUAUCAGUAUUUACAUUAAUUAACUCCAAGGGCAAUGUUUGUGAUUAUUUUACAGACAGAAUCACGGACGAAAAAUAUCCGUCAGAAAAACACUCGUCUGUAAUUUCUGGUAUGUCAUUUUGUCUGUCAUUAAUAAAAAAUACCAAUGACUUUACAGACAGACCAUGUGCGCAAAAAAAAAUUACUCGUUUCAUUUCGUCCGUAAUUCCCUCGAUAAUAUUUAACAUAUCACCGACAGAAGAACUAUAUGUAAUUUUUUCGAUGAGUUAACAGUUACAGUGACAUUUACAGUAUUUCUUUUCUAACUUUCUGGAAUAUACCGACGUACUGAUUUUAUCGGUGAGUUAACAAUAGUAUUAGUAUUUACUGUAAUUCUUUUUUAACUCUCUGAAAUAUACCGACCGAAUAAUAUCUAGAUAACCCAUCAAUAAUAAUUUUUAAAAUAUUUUUGAAACCAAGUGAAACCAAUUCUGAAGAGUCGAAGAUGGAAAUCGAUGAUUGAGGUGUAGAUGGACGAAAUUGAAGGACACUUGUUUGCAUUCAUCUACAUUAAUCUAUUGAUAGUAUCUUAGCGAAGCAAGUGAGUUAAGAGGGAGAGCAUCAACUAGGUCACAUGUUAACGGGGCAAGUUGGGAAGGAAUUUAUUUUGUUCAUGGGGUUCUCUUGACAUAACUACUUUGCAUUUUCUAGACGAGGUACGUACGUAGUCAAUUAGGUUGGAUCUAUUUAUAAUUUACAUGACAAACGGUGACAUCUAAAGUUCAGUACAGUCAUGAAUGUUCAUUGAAUAAAAAAAACAUGUCUUUUCUAGUACUAGCUGAGGGUGCUAUGUAAGCUCCGAUAUCCGCACUGCAACAGUCCAUUGUUAGAAGAAAUUGAGUAAAAUUAAUUGGGUUGUGGUGAAUAUAUUGUUUAUUUGUAAGUUUAAAAAUUCUUGAUAGUCUAUAAGAGAGGUGUUCCUGAACUUUAAAAAAGAAAAAAGGGCACGCAGACACGGGAGAGAAACCAAGGUUAGCCACUAGUCACCACCAAUUUUCACAUUCCUCUUAUCACUCACAAAGCUACAUCUCAAUUUUUCCUACAAAAGGGUAUAAACAAACGUGGAUUAUUUUCCACAAGCAGAUUGGAUUCUCUGCACCCUAAAAUAUGAUGGCAGGGGAUCAAUGAUGGUAAAGAAUUUCAAUGUGAACAACAAUAACGAAAGGAAUGGGGUAAAUAUCUAUGAUACAAGUUGCAUAUGCUGACGCUUAAGGCUGUAACUGUGGUCCAGAAAGGAGAUGAUCACAGACUUCGUUACAAAAUGGUUCCCAAAAGCCAUAUAUGCAAGAAAAGCCAAUAGGCAAUAAGGCCUAGCCUCGCCCUGGGACGACUCAUUAGUACUCGGCCGCCAGAUACCCUGCAUAGGUAGAAAGCAGCUUAGUUUCAAGUUGGUUCACUGAAUUGAAUCCCACUGACAAUAAAAAACAGGUGAAGACUGAUUAAUACAUAUCCUCAUACCCACCAACUUAUAAUGAUUAAUACAUGUCCUCAUACCCACCAACUUAUAAAUUGAUCACAUUGAAAGUGCAAUACGAAGAGUUAGAAACAGCAAUUUGAGCUUUCCUUUUUUUUUCCCUUACUCCCUAAUUAUUCAUUUAUGUGGUUUUAGCACUUUACCAUAUGCUGUCGAUUCGAUCUGCAGCUGACUUUCCUUGUUUCGGAAUGAGACCUGAUGUGUUAAGAGACUUGAAAACAUGACCUGUCAUAAAAAAUGAUACAAGAUAAAGUUUUCAAUCCAAGAAACUUCUAUCCAGGAGAAGGAAGCCGUGGAAUGCAAACCUUUGUCCUCAUCAGUUUCCUCGUGGUUGAUCAGACUACCAGAUUCCAGAUCAACAUUGAGUGCAAGAUGGUCGGUUGAUCCUUUUCGCAUAGUUCGCACAUGAGCAGCUGAGGCAGUAGAUGAGGCAACAGGAGAUAUUCCAUUCUUUCCAACUGGUCCCUGAAAAAGCAUCAGGAAGAAAAAGGUUUAAUAGAGGCCGCUUCUGAAAAAAGUUGACAAAGCAUUAUGAAUCUCCCAAAGCAGAAUUUAGAAACAGAAAGGCCAAUCUUACUUAAUAGGAUCAGCAAGUAACUUGUGGUGUAACAUGAUUACUCUUCCUACUGAAUUCUUUAUAUGCACUUAAUAUUGGCCUAAAAAGAGAAACUAAAUUCGCACAAGAGAAAUAGAUUGUGUACACACAUGAAACUGCUAUGCAUUGCAAUUGCAGUAGUGGUAUCGUGCAUUUGAAAUGGAUUUUUUCAGCCAAACUGUCAGCAAAUCUAAGAAGUUCCUGUGGUGCCCACAAGGGACAGCAUGUUAAGAAAUUGAAAUGCACAACAACAGGCGUGUUGCACUUGUCAGAAGAAUCUGUUAAAAGCUCCACAAUAAGUUAAAAAACAAAAAAAUAUUUGCUGGAAAGAACAAGUCGCAGGAAAACAAACCAUCCAUGCCAGCAUAUCACUUUAAGAACACAUAUUUGGAAAGAUGCGAUGAUAAAUUGCACUUUGAUCAUAUGGGCCAUCACUAAAUUAUUGAUAUAUGGGGUAACAAAAUCUCUACAACUAAAACAAGAUGCUAAAUUCUUGCUAGUGUCAGGAACAGUAACAGGAAAUUCCAAAGGACCACAUAACUGAACAUAAGGAAAAAGAGGGGAAAACCACUGCAAGUGGGAGAACAGAAGCAGGCAUGCAUAUCAAGGUCUCCAUUUAUUUUGGGACUUCUCUAACAUGAUAUUAUCUUCCAGGGAAAGCAAAGGCAUCCCAAAUGUUUCACUGCCACUCAGUGGGCAUAGAGUUGUAAAAGCAGAAGGAAUGUUCAUGGUGUAGUAGUGCACAUAUUCAGGGUGUAGUAGUGCACCCCAUGUUCAUCUCUUAUGCUUUGACUAAAACAAGAAUGUAGAAGUCUACACCUGUUGGCAAUUUAUCUGGAGUCCACAGUUAAGAGGCCCAUAAAAUUAAAUGUCUUAUUAGGUAACAAAACAUAUAUCAAGACUUCGGCAGCUAAGUGAUAGUGGAAGUCCGUCAUGGAAAACAUGACAUAAAGAGUAUUUACCGCAUCUUCAAUUUCAGAUAUUUCUGAGACAGCAGGUGGAGGUGCCUCAAAGAUGCUCCUUUCCUGAACAAUCUCUGGCUUAGCAGCUCUACUUUGAAGUGAAUCUUCAAGCACUUUAAUCUUGGAUGACAAUUCAUCUAUAAUUUUCUGGCUCCCAAGUAACUUUAUAUCAAGUUCCUCAGCAUGGGAAAUUGAAUUAUCAACUUCCAGGAGCAGGGCCAUGAUCUGUUUUUCCAACGCUGCCAGCAAUCCCUGCUCACCGGAGGAUUUUUGUUCCCCAACAAAUCCAUGAUCUCCAAAUAUAUCAAUAAGCUUCUCUAAACCAAAGAAUAGCUCAGACAUUUCAUUCUUCAUCUUUUCGUAGUCUUGCCUAUUUCUAAAUUGGGUUUCAGUUUCCUCUUUCAGAUUCUCAAUUUCAAGAAUCCUUGUUGAUAGCGUUGAUUGUAGCUCUUCUUUGUCAUGAGAUAAUGUAUUUAAUUGGUUAUGCAAAUCACUUAUGCUAUCAACAAUGUAAAACAAUUUCUUUACAUCAACUGAACUAUGAGGUUCCAAACCUCCUACUUCUGAAUCUUCAAAAGGAAUUUCAAUCCUACUUAUCUUCUCAAAAAGGGUUUUCAAUUGCGAUGCAGACAUGAGAGGUUCUUCGGCCUCUGGAACAAGCAGCAUUCACAAAUAAGUUAGUAGAGAGCAAAAUAGCUAAUUAGAUUUUAAAAAAAUUACCAGAAAUAUUCACCUUGAUCUUUCACCAACAGAUUACCUUGUAAAGCUGACAGUUCAGCUUCCUGUUCCAUCAACUUUUCCUCCAUAGCUUGGUAGUCUUUUACUUUGAGUCUCAACUCUUUGCAUGAAUUUUGUAAUGCUUCGACAUCAGUCUCAAACUCCAAAACCCUAUUUUUUAGUAUAACGCAUUUUUCUGUGGCUUUUUCUGAAGUUGCUGUGCUUUCCACCAAUUUGUUCUGCAAGUCUUCUAUUGUUGCAGCUGCCACAUUACUUGAACUCUCAAACAGUUUAGCCAGAUUUUGCACUCUUGUUGCAGCUAAUGACAACUUCUCUGCUAUCAUGGCAUAUUCUCUUUCAUCAAGCCUUUGCUGAUGCUCUGUGUCCUCUGCACCAGCUUCACUUGCUUCUUGAAUGGGAUUACAGUUCAACUUUUCAAGCUCAGGAAUAGAGCUUAGUUCCAGUAGCUUGUUCGUAACUUCAAACUGCAGUUCUCUAGUGGCAUUAGUACAAGCAGAUAGCAAAAUUUUAUGAUCUUGUUCUAAUUUGGCUAUGGUUUUCUCAUGUUCCUCUUUAAGCAGUUCCAAAUUCUUCAUUUGUUCUUUCAAAGACCCCAUGUUUUCAAAAACAGAACUUACAGCAUCCCUGCUUAUCCUUAAUUUUCUCAAUAGUGCUUCAAUAAAUUCAUUUGUGAAAAUUGAGAAACCUUCAAAAUUUUCUGCAAGAUUUUUGUUUCUCAACUGAAACUCUUCAACAGUCUCCUUAAAAUACAAGGGAAUGUUAUCAACAUCCACUGCAUUCACCUGACCGUUAACAAUUCCACUGUUCACCCUAUUGCCAAGGUCAUAUGGAAAAGGUUUUGUCACACACGAAUCUUCCUGGAAAAGAAUUCAAUUUAAAAACAUUGAUCAGAAAUAGCCCAAAAUCCUUCAGCAAAACCAAAAAAAUAGGAAAAAAUGAAAAUUAUUACCUCCAUCACAUAGUAACUUUUCAGUGCUUCCAGAUCUGUGUCAACGAAGUGAACUGUUAUGUCAUUGAGAAUGAGAUCAAUAUUUUUCAAGCUCUCAAACUGCUUCUCAAAAUGUUGUCUGACCAUGGACAAUAAACUCUCAUUUUUCAUAAUAAUUUGAAGAUCACCAACGUGAUGCAUGAGCUCCACAGACCUGCUUUCUAAGCUGCCGCUGGUUCCAGCUAAUUCAUCCAUGCAUGUGUUCAACUUAGAGUUAAGCAUAGAAAUCUUCUGCUGGGAAAUCUUCUUUUCAUCUUCUAGCACAGCAAUAUCAUUUGACGCCUUCGACAAUGCAUCCUCCAGUGAUUUUAUAGUUGACAAGGCAGAUGUCAGUUUGCCAGUCUGGGAAUCAGCUUCUUCUGUUAACUUCUUUAGCUCGCUCUCCAAAUUGGAUCUGUCAUCGUGGAAACGAUUGUUUUGUUCAGUCAGCAAAGAAACAUUGGUCUCUGCCUGAGACAGUGCAUCUUCAAGAGCCUUUACAGUUCUAAAUGACUCAGUAAGUUUGCUAGUUUGAAUGGUGAUAUCUUCUCUUAGUUUCUCUAGUUCAGCCUCGGUAGAAGCUCUGCUCAGUUGGACCUCUUCUCUCUCUUUGGUGAUCAUAGAAAUAUUAUUUUCUGCUAGUGACAAUGAAUCUUCAAGUGAUUUUAUAGUCGCACAAGCCUCAGUAAACUUGCUAGUUUGACUAGUUGUUUCAUCUAUUGCCUUUUGCAGGUCCAGUUCAACAGUUCUUUUUGCAACUUCCAUUUCCCCUUUCUCUUCAGAUAGUUGAGAGAUUUGGUUCUCUGCAGCUGAUAAUGCAUCUUCAAGUGAUUUCAUUGCUCGUUGGGCAUCUGCUAACUCACUAGCCAGAAUAUUAGUUUCUUCCUUAACUUUUUCCAAAUUUUGCUCCAUGUGGAUCUUAGCCUGCUGGCAUUCAUUCAAGUACCCUGCAAGCCAGUUCACCUUUUGUACAGGCUCUUCAAAAUCAGAAGCAACAGGAAGAACAAUACCAUCAAUGGAUUCGAUAACUCUCUGUAACAUGUUAUUGCUCUCCAACAAGAAUUGCUCAAGUUGAUUACGUUGAUCUUUGGCAGCAACAAGAUCAGCCUCCAACUUUGGGAUUUGCUCUAAAUCAGCAGACAAUCUAUUUAUCUCAUCCCUGCAGUCAGUAACCAUAGAUUCUUGCUUCUGUAACUCGAGUUUGAAAUUCUCAGCUUCUGAUUUCUUCUGUUCCACGAGAAGUUUCAGGUUUUCUCUAUCUUGAACCAAUCCCUUGCCUUUCUUAACUGCCAAGGACAACUUCUCCCUCAGUAAAGUAGAUUUCUCCUCCGUACGCUCAAGAUCUUUCUGCAGGGUGUCUUUUUCCUCCUUCAAUGCAGAAAGUCCUAGAGAUGCCACUUUUAGCUCACCGGACAGAUUAAUCACCUCUGAUCUCACCAGCAUGUCUUCUUCAAGAAGUUUCUCACAAAGCAUCAACUCCUGAUCCCUGACAUACAAGAGACUCUGCAUACUUUCGAACACUUCAGCAACAGCAGAAGUGUCAGAAGAAGAAUUGCUUUCUUCUUUUAUCUUCCCAAAGCAUCUAUCGACAAGCAUGGGCAGAUCAGAAUAAGUCUGAUUGGGUUCAAGACUGUCUGUUGUUAUUCCAGAACGCUCUAACAACAUCUGCACCAUCUGAUGCUUUUCGGAUGAGGCUUGAUGGACCUCUUCAAAGUUGCGUUCUAAGACAUCCAACUCCAUUUUAAUAUAUUCCUUUUCUUGUAACUCUGCUGAAAGCAAAGCACUUAACUGGUCAAUCUCAUUUUGUGCAGAUGUCUUUGUUCUAGCAAGUUCUUCCCGGAACUCAUUUAUUUCACCUUUUGAUUGGUUAACUGAUUCCUUGAGCCAACCUAUUCGAGUUUUCAAGUCAGAGGAUGAAGCAGUUUCAGGUAGGUCAAUUAAAGACAAUGCAUCUUUCAAUUUGUGGAAUUCCAGCAAAUUAUCCUUAAGUGCAUUUCUCUCCUCGACAAGCCAUUUCAACUUUUCAACAGUAUCCACAGACUGAAGUUCCACAGGCACACUUAUCUGAGAAAAACUUUCUUCAAGAUAGUCAAUAAUUUUAUUCCUUUGUGAAAGAGUUUCCUCAAGUGACGAAGUCAAAUUCACAUGCCAUCUCAACUUCUCAAUAAGAUCUGUUUCCUCCUUGGGAACAUUAUUGUGCGACAGAAUUUCUUCAAAGUUCUCAAAAAUUGCAUUCUUUUCUGAAAGCAUUCCCUGCAGUGAUGUAACCUCAUUUACUAACCAUUUCGAUUUCUCUACAACAUCCAUCGUUUGAAGUCCCUCAUGUACAUCAAUCUGAGAAAAAACUACUUCCAAGCUUUCCGAAACUGCAUUUCUUUGUGCAAGCGUUUCCUGCAAUGAUGCCACCAAGUUCUCACAUUUGACCAGCUCGCCCUUGCAUAGCUCUGCGGUCUCAAUGGCACUUGAUUUCUCUUGCAAUUCAGCCAGACAUUUGUCAAGCUCACUUGUUUUCUCAGCCAGAGCAUGCUUUAGUGAAUCCCGUUGCUGAACCAAUGCCUUUCCCUUGGUCACGGCCAUGCUAAGCUUAUCCUUUGUAUUUGCAAACCUGUUCUUUUCCUGCUCAAGUUCCACCUUCAUUCUUCCAAGUUCUACAUUUGCUGCCUCUGCCAUCAUUUUUUCCUUCUCAACCUGUUCAACCAAUUUCCUACUUUCAUCCUCUAAAUGGCCUAGUUUUUCCACCAUCUCUACUUCCUUUCUCUUGAGCUCCACCAACUCACCACGGGCAGCAGCAAAAACCAAUGCAGGCCCAAACAGCUCCUGCCCCUCAAAAUUAAACCCUCCCUCAGUUAAACACGCCCUAAGCUGAUCAAUUUCAUAGAGCAUCCAGCUAUAAUGCUCAACUAACAAAGAGCCACUUCUCUCAACAUGAGCCAGUUUCCCCAUAACUGAAUAAUCCAACAACUCUCCAGGAUUAACCACCACGCCAAGUGAAGCCAGCAGCCUGUCUGCAACAACCUCAACACCCUCUUCCGCCUGAGCCUUCACUGUAAGAUCCUCGAUCUGUUGAUUCAGCUCUCUUAUCACCCCCUCAGUCCGUAAGCGCUCAUCCAAUGCAACCUUGACAAACUGAGAGCACUCACUUAACAUCUCACGCAAUAAGGAAGUAUCAUUACCGGCCACCAUUUCCUCCUGAUUUCCAUAAUCAGCAGACAAAGACUGUUUAUCCGCCAAACCCUUAAGCUCAUGGCAUAGAAUAGAAACUUCUCUCGCGAUGCUUUCCCUUUCUUCCUGAUCAAAAAAUUAAAAAAAGAAAACCCAAAAUAUCAUUUACAAAUCAAUAACGUCAAAAGGGAUUGAAAAAAUAAAAAAGAAAAGAAAAAAGAAAAAAAGGACCUUUAAUUCAGUAGAGAGGGUCUGUUUUUCUUGAAGAGUCUUGUCAAGGAUUGCUUUUAAUUCAUCAAUAGAAGGAGAAGAAGUAGCAUGUUCUUGUAGUAGAGUAGCAUCAUCGACAAUUUCUUGAAACUGAUUCUCUUCAAUAUCAUCAGUUGCAUCUUCGAACAUAUCUUCUUUGCUUUCAACAUGCCGCAUCUCUCCUCCUUCCUGCACGCAUUUCCUCUCUCCCUCAAAUAAUAAUAAUAAUAAUAAUAUGCAAAAUUCAAUCCAUAAAAAAAAAAAAAAGUGAAACUUGAGAGAUAAUCAGUGAUUACCUGGUUGGUAUGAGCAGCAUCAACUCCAUUUGAUUCUUCAUCUUCCGCUGCUGUCACUCCAUUUUGCUCCUUUGAUUCUGACAUUUUCUAAUUAAAUUAUAACCUAAUUGCUAUCAGAUCUGCUAAUUAAAUUAAACUAUUCAAGGUUGGAAAGAAGGGUAACCUAAGGGAAUUCGAGACUGUUUGAUUUGGGGAUUUGAACAGACGGGGAAAUAAAGGAAACGCAGUUGGAUUUGAGUUGUGGAGGAAUUAACGGUGAUUUGUCCGUUGAUUGUUAAGUGCGGAGCAGAGAAAUGUUUCCCACCCAAACCUAGAAUUUGGCGUUACUUGCUUUCAUAGAUCUGCGUGCCUCUUGGUUUCUUUUUUUACAAUCGCGAACGUGGUGGAAAAAACCAAAACGGCUUGGUUGUGGCGCGUUUUCGUGAAGUUGACUGCGACGGUGUCGUUCCUAUGUCUCCCGUUGGCAUUGUUGAGCUUUCAGUUUGGGUAAAAGUUAUUUUAGCUAGUAGCUAUGAUCAUAUCCAUGUUUUUAAAAAAAUAAAAGGUCAUAAGUAUUUUAUUUUUUAUUAUUCAAAUAAUAUAUGAGAUGAAUAUUGGAGUGUAUAUUAUUUUAUGUUGUUGAUUGCUUUCAAAUUAUAUUGAUAAAUUUUUGAAUUCUUUAACUUUUAUUAUAGUAGUAAUUAGAAAUAAAAUGCAUAUACUAAAAAAUAAAAAUUUAAAAAUCCUGAGGGGUGUAGUUUAACUGGUCAGGCCCUGAAUUGCUCCCCAGAAAUCACCAGUUUAACUGUCACAAACCUCAGGGACACUGGAGACGUACAUAGUUGUUAACUUCAAAGCCUCAGAAGAUUAGUCGAUGUACGCGUAAACUGGCCCAGACACCAACAAUCAACAAAAAAAAUUUAGAUAAUACAUACUAAUUAAAAUCAUUAUUACUUUGUCUAGCUAAUAUUUGUAUUUGACGAUCCUCGUAAUAUUCGAUCAAAUAUCGAGGCAUUCUAGUCAUAUCUAUUAACAUUAUUCUCUCCACUUAUUAUUCUUGUUUCAAUAAAAAUUAUUCUCGUAUCAUAACAAUCUUGUCUUUUUCUAUCUUUGCCUUUUCAUUUUUUUACCUUUGCUUUCUUUUCCUCUGAAGCUUAAGAUUUUUCAAAAAAAUUCCAUCUAUUUCUUUAUCAUUUUAUGAUCUUUGUAAUCCUCUAGGAUCGAUCUAACAUGCAAAAUUGUGUUGCCCUUGUCUUUUUAGCCUACUUCUUUGUCGCCUUUUUACAUGUCGAUCUCUCCAUAUUAUCAUUAUCAUCAAGAACAUCAUCUUCUUACAAGUGAAUUGAACUUUGUGUAAUAGAAAAAUAAGCUAUGAGGGUUGCAUUUCUAAUAUUUGUUUUUUACUUUUUCUUUAAAUUCUCAAUUAUCCAUUUAGGUUGGCUCUUCAAUUUAUCUCAAUAAUGUUGAAAUGAAAAUGAUUGGUCUUGAAUUUUUUUUAUACGCAAUCUUCACUUCAUUUACGUAAUACUAAAGUCACAUUGAAAUGCAUUACUUAAAAAAUGAUAAAUUAAAUUAAUUUAAAUAUAUGAGUUUUAUAUAUAGAAUACCUUGUCUUCAUAGAUGAGACCACUUUGAUUUUAUUUUUUAUUUAAGCAUAGGGCAAAAAAAACUUAUUCAUCGCUAAUUGAAUGGUUGACCAACGAGAACUUGAUAUAUGCUCUUAGACAAACUUCUUAUUUUUGUUGAAGUUGACAUGAAUUACUUUCUAAUACACCUUAUUUUUUUUUAUUUUUUUCACAUAUCAAAUCCGUGUUAGUACUAAUCCAUGCCUCUACAAAUCUUUUUCAUCUCUAAAGUUGCUUAAUUGCUUUAUCUUUUUAGUCAUGGAUGGAUCUUGAGAUGGCACGACAAAUUGAUUGGAGUAUUGAGCAGGUAGAUCAUAAACUCUUCUUCUUUUUUUUUUUUAUGAAAAUCAUGUAUUCAAAUUCAGACCUUUCAUACAUGAUGAUAGUGAAAUAGCCAUAACCUUAAGAUUCCAUUGAAACUGAAACUUUUUUAAGUAAUUGUGAUUGCGAAAGAAAUUGAAGUCAAGGAAAUAUAAAUGAUAAUGUGUAGAGAAUAAAGAUGAAGUGUAAAUUUUCAAUAAAAAAAGACUUCAUUUUAUAGAAGGAUUUGGAUUAGAUAUAAAUUAUAUUGUUUAUCUUAAAUGGUAAAAGUUUUAUCUUUUUAUCUAUUAGAUUCAAAUGACAUUUUUAAAUGUAACAAAUCUUUAAUUUAUUGAUCUCUACGAGUUACAAACAAAUAACUCCUAGAGUGCAUUUGUUUUUAAGGUAACUUUUGUGGUUGUGGUUUGAAAAAAGUAAGUUUUAAAAAGGUGUGGUUAGUUGAAUUUAAAUGCGUGUUUGGUAAAAAUUAUGGUUGAGGUUUAUAAACAGCAAAAAUCAUGUAAAAAAUGUUUGGUAGUUGUGUAGUUGUUCAAAGUGUUUUUUUAUUUAGAAAUGCAUCAAAAUAAUUUUUUUAUAUUUUUUAAAAAUUAUUUUUGAUAUCAGCGCAUUAAAAUGAUAUUAAAACACACAAAAAAAUUAAUUUGAAGUGAAAAAAAUAAAUUUUUCAAAAGCACUUUUGAAAUACAAAAACAAACAAAGUUUUACGAAACUCAGUUACAAAAAUAUGUAAAAACUGCGUUUCAAACUCAAUUUUUUAAUGGGCUUCACGGUAAAAAAACGCAGUUUAGUGUGUUACCAAACACUUUACUGUGUUUUUUGCACCGCAAACGCAAAAGCUCCAAGUAAACAAACACAACCUAGAUCAUGUGUCUAAAAAUUUUAUUGACUGGGUUGUCUUUAUAGGCUCUUUAAAAUUAGCCAAUACAUGUCGGGGUCCUAAACUUCUAACAUCGAUGUAAUUCAAAAGUUGUUCCAAAUCCUACUACCAAAUGGAAAUUUUAACAUCAUUGGGGAGAAGGCAUAUAAAAAUAGUGCUUAGAAUUCAAUUAGAUUUCAAUAUGUUAUGCAUCUGAAGGAACUCCUAACAAAUUAAAUUAAAAUAAUAAAUAAAAGAUAAGGAUAUAUAAUAGCUUGAGAUCUCACUGGGUAGUCUAACAAUAAUUUCUUCCCUUAUAUGAAACAAAAAAGAAUUAUUAGGAAAAUGAAAAACAACAAAUUAUUAACAAGGAAAAGGGAAUGAUGUUCAAGGAGUUCCAAUACAAUACUUUUCAAAAGAAUUCCUUGAAUUAAGAUCAGUAGAUUGAAACAUAAAUGAAAAUAAAAAUUGAUUCAAUACAAACCAAUAUGUUUAUAACAUACUCAUCUCCUUCUCCAAGUGGUGUCAAUACCAAUGAAGAGAAACAAUUAACUGAGGAUGAAAAGUAGAAUAUAUGUUAUGGCUAACUAGUUAGAGAUACAUUAAUAAGAAAAAAGUCUAAAACUUUUCUCAAACCUAACCCAUGAACAAUCCCAACUAGAAGCAGCCAUCAAAAAACAAAAUGAAUAUAAUUGAAACCAAGUUAUAUCUAAAAUAAAGUUGCAUAAUGUUGUAACACAAAAUUAUCACCAAUGGAGUUAAACAUUGAAUCAUGUUGACGAUUGACCUUCAUUUCCAUAAUAUCCAAACUAAAUUUAUUAUUCGUUGAAACAUGAAUUCUACAAAGUUAAUUGUCUGUCUAACUUCUUCAAACAAAAAGACAAGACCACUAUUCUUUCUUAAAUGCACAAAUCAUAUACCUUAGACCUCCAUGUUAAUGCUAAAAUUACACUUUUAAUCAUUCACUUGUGGAUUUCAUGUAUAAAGCAAUAUUCGAUAGGGAAAUGAAGGUGCCAUCAUGUGAAUUUAUGAUAAUAUAACUUACAUUGCUCAAGCUCUACUACUAAGCAAUAAGAAUUUUUCAAUGACAAAGAUAGGUUAGGUGUUGUGCAAAAAGUUAAAGAAUAAAAUUUGAUCAAUAACAUCCCUGGAAUAUUAUGCAAAACCAUUAAAAUAUCAUUAUCUAAUUCAUCUUGCUAACCAAGAAUUUCUCUUCUAAUUUUCUCUUCCCACUAAGUAAAAACAUACCAUCAUUGUUUGCAAUUCAAAAUAGUUCACAAUCAUUUAGGAUAAAUGUUAAACUAGAAUAUUUCUUUUUUAUCUGAUAAGUUAGUAUUUUUUUGACUCAAUAUUUUUGUGACUUAAAAGCCCAAGACAAUAUGGGUCUGGUAAUAUACUAGAUCUAAUACGCUUGGGCUCCGCCAUCAGCCGAACCCAAGAUAACUUGGGUCUGACAAAUUAUCAAACCCAAUACCUUUAGGUUUCGUCACUAGCUAAACCCAAGGUAAAGUGGUUGUAGCAAUACACUUGGGUUCGGCCAUUAGUUCAUGCCAAUAUACUUGGAUUCAACCAUCAGCUAAACAUAAAGUAAAGUAGGCCUGAUAAAUCGCCAAACACCAUGCACUUGAGUUCAAUUGUUAACUAAAUCAAAGGUGUUAUUAAUUUGAUGAACAACUAUGACCUUUUUAUUUGAGUUUUUUCACAUGUUAGGUCCAAUUGGCAUUAGAAAUCCAGAACUAUGGAGCUCUACUUUUAGAUUAAUUACAUGAAUUAUUUAGAGGUAAUAAUCUCCCUUCAUCUAUAGAUGAGCAAAAUGCCUCUAAAGGGUCUUACCAUCUCAUUAAUGACAUGCAAAAGAUAUUUAUUCCUUAUUAAUUAAAUUCAAAUGAUAUUUAUUUCUCAUUAAUGUCAUUAAAGCAAAGAACUUCUCAAUUCUUCUUUUCCCGACGACAAGGUUCCAAUUACUAAAAAAAAGAAAGAAAUACUAAUUUAAAUGUGUUAUUUGACCUUCAUAACCUCCAUUUUUUAUUGUUUUGAAAAUGUUUAAGGUUUUGAAUUGAUGGGUUCUUUUAUUUGGGUUUGUGUUUGAAUUUUUAAGGUAUUUAGAUUGAUUUUUUUGGAUUUAUUUAUAUUUAGCAUUAUACUAAAUCAUUGGUAAGCUCUAUGCUAUUGUCAAAUCAAACUCUUUUCAGCAUAAAAAAAAUAUCCAGGCAUUAUUGAUGUUUUUUCCAAAAAAAAAAUUUAAAACAAGUAAAGGUUGACCUAGAUGUGAUUCAGUCGACUUGGCGGAUAAAAAAAAAACUUAAACGAUCAGUAAAAAAAGAGUUUGACUAAAAACAAUUCAAGAUGACAUCCUUUAAAAAAAAUAAUAUGGAGACGACAAUAUAUUGAAUCGACCCAGGUCAUGAGACUAUAAUAACCUCAUAUAAAGCAAGUUGAAACAAAUUAUGAAUCCUAAUUCCUAAUUAACCUAGUGUUGAAUGAUAAAAUUGAAAAAAAAUCAAUUAAAGAAAGGACAAAAUAAAACUGACUUGAUUCAACCUAGGUUAACUAGCCAAAUCCAUAACUUGAGUCAUGAAAUCAAGAUAAACCCAUAUAAAGUAAAUCAAAACAAAUCAUGAAACUCAAUUCUCAAUGUUGAAGGAUGAAAUGAAAAAAAUCAAAAAAAAAAAAAAACUUAAGUUUGAUAGGUUAACUUGAGGGUCAUGAGAUAAGGAUAAUCUCAUAGAAACAAAUUGGAAAAAUAACAUAAGUCAAAUCAGGUUAACUUGUCAAACUCAUAACUUCAUAACUUGAUUCAUGAGAUCAAGAUAACCCCAUAAAAAUAAAUUGAAACAAAUUAUGAAGCAAUAUUCCCAUCAAUCUAUUAUUGAAAAAUAAAAUUGGAAAAAAAUAAUCUAGAAAAAAAACAUAGUAAAACGACCUAAGUCAACCUAGAUUAACCUGUAAAACUCGUGAUCUGAGUCAUGAAACUAAGAUAACCUAAUAUAAAGUAAACUAAAACAAAUCAUGAAGUUUAAUUCCUAAACAACUGAAUGUUUAAUGAUGAAAUUGAAAAGAAAUAUAUCAAUUAAAAAAAAUAAAAAACUCGAGUCAACUAAGUUAACCUGCCAUAUUCGCAAUAUGGAUCAUGAGACUUGAAUAACCAUAUAGAAAACAAACCCUAACAAACCAUGAAAACCAAUUUCUAAUAAAUUAAAUGUUCAAAUAUGAAAUAAAAACAAAGUAAAAAAAAAAACUAUUACAAUAAAUAGUAUUUUGUAAGGUGAUAUAUAGUAAACACCACCUCUUUUAGUUUUUAUUUUUGUUAAUGUUAAUAAAGGUUUGAAGUUUUUUCCCACCUCUUUAUCACUUAUUUUAUCAUAAAUAAAUUAUAAUUUAAUCCUUAAAUCUUUUUAUAAAUUUAAAAUUAUUCUUCUAGUUUUGAAAAUCCUAAACGUAUAAAUUAAUAAUGUAUGAGAAGAAAAACAUGAAAUUAUCAUAGAGAAAACUAACAAAAGAAUUAAGUUACAAACAAAUGACAAAUCACAGGGAUUCAAUAUUGAAAUUUUAAACUAAAGGGAUCAACUUAUUAUUUUACUAAUUUCAAGCAUCCAAUGCUCAAAUAUUCUUAAAUAAGAUUCUAAAAAACAUAUCUUUAAAUUCUUUUUUUUUCUUUUGUUUUUCUAUGAUAAUUGGAGACCAUAUCAUUAUUUUAUAAAAAUGCUGGUUUGGCUUCCAAAUCAAUAAAUUGAACUAUCCCAAUUGUUUGGACAAUAACUAGCAAUUUUGAGUAAAAAAAGUCAAUUGUUUAUUGUCAUGCUACAUGGGAGCCUAUUUAGGUAGUAUUUGUUUUUCCGGUCGAAUCGUGUUUUUAAAAAAAAUUAUGUUUUUUUCUUUAAAUUAAUUUUUUAGGUGUUUUUAAAUCGUUUUAAUGUGCUGAUAUUAAAAAUAAAUUUGAAAAAAAUAAAAAAUAUUAUUUUGAUGUAUUUCCAAGCUAAAAGAAUUUUGAAAAGCAACCACUAUCACAAUAUUAAACACUAUCUUAUUAAAUUCAGCACCACGAAUCGACUUGGACGUGAGUUGUGUUGAGUUUCAUAAUAAAUAGAGAGAGUUGACCUGGUUUGACAAGUUAAUAAUCUAUAGAUCGAUUAGUGAUCCAGUCAACUCAAUAAAAAAUAACAUAAUAGUUUGAUUUUAAUUUAAAAAAAAACAAAGUUUUUUUUAAAAUAUUUUUUUGAAGUUAAUUGGCCUUGUUCAUGACCCAAAUCAAGUCUAUUUUCGGUUCAAGUUUAAUAACUAUGAGGCUAAGCAGAUCUCCAUCAGCACACUAUACUGAUAGCGAUUAUACAGUCACUAUCUUUUAAUUAUAUUUGGUAUUGUGGUUGCUUUUAUGGUUGUGGUUUGAGAAAAAUAUUUUUUGAAAAAUCACUUUUUUAUGUGGUUUCUUUACCUAAAUUAUGUAUUUGGUAAAAAUUAUGGUUGAAAUAGCUUCUUCAUCAAAAGCAUGUCAUUAGUGUUUAGUUAAAAUUACGGUUGAAAUUGUGGUUGGACAUGAAAUGACCAAAUAAGACAUUAUUUUUUCAAUACAUGAAAUUGAAUAAUUAAUACAUAUUAAGAUUAACUACUUGUAAAAUUAAAAACUCUACAAUUCUCCCAUCAAACUUGAAGCAAUUCCAUCUUGAAUAUAAUCCAUAUGCAAAGUCUUGUUACCUCCAUAUAUUUGUGAUCGUGGAAUAACAUCACAUAAAAAAUCCAAAGGCACAAAAUCAAGACAACAUUCAAACUCAUUAAAAACAACAUCUUGUUCGAACCUCAUUCUUAUGUAAUUAUGAAGAGCUAUUGCUUUUAUGGUUAUGAUUUUAAAGUAUUGUCAUAAAAGUUCAAGAAAUUAGAGAAUCUACAUCUAUUGAGGAAUCAAUACAACAAUAGCAUUUUUUCAUCUCUAACUAGAUUUUCUACUCUCAAGUCUUUAAAUCUAUCAUAGAAUCAGUUGGUAGAAUCAAAUUAUUUCUAUGGUAUCAAUUAAAUUGUCUAGCUUUGGAUAUUUUUUUUUCUCAUGCUUCUUUGAUUUUUUCUAUGUUACCAAUUAUUUUCUUCUAGUAAUAUGUGGGAGAUUGAUUAUCUAGAACUUAGACAGUCACUCUUUUUUUUUUUUUUUGAAUAGCUAUGCUUAAGACCAAAAACAAUUUAGGUAAUAUGGGAUCAAAACCAAUAUUAGUUUGUAUUGAAUUUGUGUUGCAUCGAUAUUGGCUAAUAUAUUUAAGCAAAUACUCAUUUUCUCUCCAAUUUAGUUUGGUUCCCAUGUUAUAGUAUCCAUUACUUGAUUUUAGUUUCUUGCACCAUAUUAAUCCUACUAAUAAUUUUUAUGAGUAUUUUUUUUUUGUUUUUGUUCUAUCCUUUCUACAUCAUUUAUAAAAUCUCAGCUUUUUACAUCAUUUCAUCCAUUCAUAUAUAUUUUUUUGAACUCAAAAUAAUUGAAGCUACACUUUAAACCUCUGUCUAUUUACUUUAUGAAAUCAAAAUCAACAAAUUUAUCAAUCUCCUAAGUAAUGAAAUUGAGAAAGAAGAAAAUUAGAACCACAAGUGUUUACCAUAAUUAUCAAAAGCGGAUCAACGGUUCCUACAAUAAAUAGGGAUAUAGUUUCAACAUUGAACAAUAUCCGGUUAAAUUUGAAAUUUUAAAAAACAUGCAUAGUUGAAAUUGAAGAAAUAUUAAAAUCGAAAGUUACCUAGAUUUUUCUGCAGAAAACACUUGCUUGUACACGAAAAAAGGAUUACAGGACUUAAGGAAAACAUAUAUGGUGGUGGUUUUUGUAGAUCUUGAUCGUGAAUGGUGUUUUAUGUAGAUCCAGUGUUGGUUUGUAGGUUUUGUAAUCGUUUGUGGCUAAAAAAAAAAAAGAAGAGAAAAACAAUGUUUGUAAACAGAAGUUAUUCAAGAAUGGAAAGAGGUCGGUGAAGAUGUUGAAAAACAUGAACGAUGAGAAUAAUCAUUUCAUUGGGUUCUCACAAGGGAAAUGAGGAAAAGAGAGGAUAGAUAGAUAUUUUGGUCAAUAAAAAAUUAAAUAGUCUUUUAACUUCAAAGCAGAUCAAUCAUGCUUUUGAUUAAUUUUUGGUUAGAUCAUAGUUUUGACAUGUAUCCCACUUUCUUAAACCUGCAUUUUAAUGUUUACCAUACACUCAUUUAUCAUUUAUCAUGGUCAAACCACAUCAAAUUUUCUGCCACAAAAUUUUGUAGUUCAUCACUGUUGUCAGCUUGUGAAGUAACCUGGUUCAACUGCUCCUUGAAUGAUAAUUCUGUCUCAAUUCUCAAAGCCCACAUUUUACUUUCCCUUUCCCUUUCCUUAUAUUUAGAUAAAGUCAGAUCGGUAAAUUAAUCAGGCUCAUUGCUCUACCUUCUUCUUUCUCUCUCGAUACUUACAAGAAGUUGCUUUAACGGGCUCUAAUCUGGCAUGGUUAUUAUUCCUCUUCAACUUGGCCUAGCUAGUCACGUUAUACUAUGAUAAUUCUAAGAUGAACUAAAAUUUUAUUUAUUUUUAUAUUUUAGUAGUGUUUUAAAAAAAAUUGAAGAUUUUUUAUUUUUUUUAUUUCAAAUUAAUAUUUUUUUGGUAUUUUUAGAUCAUUUUAAUAUGAUAAUGUCAAAAAUAAUUUAAAAAAAUAAAAAAAAUUAUUUUAAUGCAUUUCCAGAUAAAAAACACUUUGACAAGCAACCACCACCACCCACUUGGAAUUGUUGGAAUGAUCAGUUAAACAUAAUCAGCUGUUCCUGACACCGUUUACUUCAGAUGUUUCAUUGAAGUUAAUCGGGCAUGAAAAUCUAGUUUUAGCAGGCAGGAUGGCUGGAUGGAAGGGGAAGAAUAAGAUGCUUCCUUCAUUUGAUCGGGUGGAAGGAGACCCUGAUCAGCAGGAAAGAAGAGAAUGACCUCUCCUAUUCAUCCCUUACUGGGUUUCCGUCCUAACACAAAUUCUCACCGUCCUUGCUUUCCUCCUUUUCAUCCUAUCGACUAAACAAAAAGCGUAUAGGCUAUUAAAGCCAGCCAUGGAAAUGGAUAUGAGCUUUUGUGACGGUGACAGGCUGAAGCAAUUCUCACACAACUCCAUCUUUACGAGCAAUGCAAUAUAUCUAGGACUUUCAAUUCUAUUUUUUUUCCCAUCAUCAUCAUCAUCAUCAUCAUCAUAUUCUACUUGAUUGAAAUCACUGCAGGACCCAUUUUCCCGCUAGUUUCCCAUGCCAACUCGUUUAAGCAAAACAGCACAGGCAUAGCAAAAAAACUUGGUUAAGAAAAAGGCCAAUGGAACCUGGUAAUGAAACCAGAAUUGUAGUUUGCUGCUUGCAGUAGCAGAAGCAGUAUGGUGAGUACGUAGGAAACCCAAACCAAAAAAAGAAAACUCUGAUUGAAACUCAUAAUACCAAUGCUAUUAUAAUCCAUAAGCGAGUUGAAAGGGGUAAAACAAGAUGAACAAUGCACAAACUCUACUCUAAAUCCAUUUCAUUACAAGAAACAGAUCAUAUGGCAUGGUAAGACAAACAAAUGUGAAACGAAGACAACCUCAAGCAUACAUUUGUCUAAAUAUUGUUAUUGUAACUGUUAGAAAGGAGAAGCACAACAAGGGUAUUGAUGAUAAGUAAGUAUAAAUGUGCUGCUAUAUGUUCUAAAAAUAAACUUAAUUUUCACAUAUUUAGAGAUUACAUUUAUUUAUAGGUUGCUGAUGCUCAAGAACUCAACAUAAGAUGAGAUUGAUUAUUUUGUUUAAGAAUCAGGGACAUUAGCUCUUACCGGACUCUAUUUACAUUUCGAAGGUCGGCAUUUUCCCUCUAUACAUCAUUCUUCUAAUUUACUUUCAAUUCAUAUUAGGUACUCAUAAUACACUAAGAAAAGAGCAUCAGGAUAAUCUUUUGGCAAGCUGUUGAUGUAGAGGUAGAACCGCAACAAAUCCUCUUUGGAAAUCGCUUUUGUGUCAACAACUUCACUGUUACAAGUGAGAACCCACAAGUCUUCCGAGUUAACUCUCUUUAAGCUGCCACGGCAAAAAGGGCAGGACUCCGACCUUGUGUUCCUGCAAUUGUGAAAAAAACCAAAUAAGUGAAAAUAAUGGCAACUCUCUUCGAUAUCAAGUAUUCACAGAGGAAAAGGGCAUGAUAUUGCAGUAAGAUUUCGAGGCUUGUAGUUACCAAUUGCGGUAGCAUUUGAUGCACAUUGCAUGACAACAGUUAGGCAAGACCAUUUUGGUGCAGGGCUCCAAACAAAUUCCACAUUCAUCUUCCCUCUCUAAAUCAAUAUUGGCAAGCCUGUUAUCUCCUUCCACCUUCUUUUUGCCCAAACUCUCCAUGCCAUAAUUCUCUCCCUUAACAUCCCCCAUCUCUUCUAAGUUACUAUUAAGCCGUUGAAGAUACGGCAAUAUAACACCUGCCAUUCAUUUUUAUGAAAACGAAAAAAGUCAAAUAAAACAUACAAUCAGAAUGGUUGCAAUUUAGUUUUAAUGCAUUUAUAAGUAUAGUCUAUAGAUUAAGAAAAGCCAAAAAAAAAAGUAGAUAAUUUGCAUACCAUAGAAUUCCUGAACUGUUGCUUUCCUUCCAUGCUUAGAUAGGCCUGGUCUACCAUCAGUAUACACCUGCAAGGCAUUAACGAGCAAAAAAAUUUAAGAACUUGCCAACUAUAUACAGCAACAUGCAAGAAAUGGAAACUUUAGCAAACUAUCUUUUAAGAAUCAACGGACCAAAAAGAGAACUGACCUUAUAUACUAGUACAUGAAAGAAAUUUAGAUAUCUGGGGAGCAGGCAAAAAUAAGAACAAUCUAUUCUUUGUAGCAGAAAGAAAAAGAGAGGAGCCCAGUGAUUGUAAGCUAAUUUCAUCCGCAGGCGUGCUCCACCCUUGUCCUUUGGAAUUGCAGCAGCCCUAAUACACCAUAAUUCACAUCAUGUAAUAAAAUUAGUUAAAUUGAGUCACACUAUUUGGCCCAAGCAUAAUACUGGUCACCAAAAGAAGAACGAAACUUUAAAAGUUUCAACUCAUUUUUUUCUGAAAACAGAGAAGACAUUAUAAGAGAAAGAAUCCCAAUUCCCAACUAUCUCUGCUUAUUAGCACUUGGAAUUUUAUGAAAUUUUAGUCAAAGUUGCUCACUUUAGCUGCAAUUGACUAGGCAGACAUUGCAAUACCAACUCCAAAAUCCAUUCUUUGUGUGUACUGUACAGAAAUAUACCAAUCUUUUUUGAUGUUUAACUAAUAUAAAACUCAACUGAUACAUUAACUCCCACUUGAAAACAUCGUUCUACAAGCUCAAAAAAUCUAAAAAUAGCAUAGCACAGAUUAAAAUUGAUCAUAAAAAGCAAGAAGAUACAGACCAACUACAACAAAAUUCCUAUCCUCUUUUCCUCAAAUUAAUAACAAAACAACCUGUGUUCUUGUUGAUCAUAACAGAACAAGUGAUUCUUAAAAUCCCAAGAAGAAAUAAAAAUAAACAAAAACAACCCAUCUCAUCAUCAAAAGAGAAGUCGAAAAAAAAACAUAAAUUUAACUCACAAAGCAUUAGCAUGCUGGAUAUCAGCCUCCAAAACUUUAAGGGAAUCUUGGUAAGAUGAGUUGCUCAGCUGAUAACACAUCAUCUCCAUCUCCCUCAAACUGAAAGCCCCCAAAAACCAGUAGCUGAUGUUUCAAUAAAGAGAAAACAACAUAAGAAAAAGGUCUAUGUCUCUAGCUUUCUCUCUGGGGCGGCUUUGUGACGCUAAGUGGUUCGGUUUUAUUGAUGGUCAGAGAAUACUUGUGUAUAAUUCUGAAGAGGUGGGUGGCUGUGUGUUGUUUGUCUGUUGAGGAUGCUCUCCUUUAAUCUUUUUUUUUUGUGUUCUUAUCUACUAAUCUUUUGCUUUUAGUUGUUGUCCUCCUUCCUGUUUUUUUCUUAUUCUUUCAAAUAACCUUUCAUUUCAUGGGUUCUUUAUUGCCUGGCCUAGCCUUGCCUUGCCUUGCCUCUCCUCUUUAUGUUUCGAAUUUACUUCCCGUGGAUUCCAUGUUAUUCGUGUAUGACUUAUUGGGAUUUGUACAAUCAAAUAGCCCUCCAAGAAGAAGCUAACAAGACUUGGUGGGGGGUUUUGAUUGAGUUUUUAAGGUAUUAUUUUUGUUAGGUAAACUAUAGCAGCCUUGCUUGAGUUGGCUUUUUUUCUGUGGCUUGUGAAAUUGGUGACAGCUUGAAUUUUAAUUAUAGAAUAGAAACCCCUAAUUUAAUGGAGUCGAAUCAUAUUAUAUAUAUUGUCACAUGAUUGGAUUUUUUUGUCAAAAUUUUCCAGCUCCUGUAUGGAGGCUUAGCUCCUCCCAAGAUUAGGUUUUUUUUAUAUUAAUUUACUUGUGUUUAUCUAGCAAUUAAAUAUUUAUUUUCAUCAUUUCUCAUAUGUUUUUAUAUUAUAAGACAAGCAAAAUAUAUAAGUAAAUGAUACGAUAUAUAUAAGCACUCAAAUUAUUACAAAACAUUAUUGUUUACCAUGCUAUUUAUUAUUGUUAUUAGUUUAAUUAGUAUAAAAACAGUAUUUGAGAACGCGGUUGAUAUUAUAUUUUUUAAAAUUUUAAUUUUUUAAUUUAAAAUUAAUUUUUUUAUGUUUUCAUAUUAUUUUAAUAUGUUGAUAUUAAAAAUAAUUUCUAAAAAUAAAAAAUUCUUUCAAUUAUAACAACUACCUGACUCUGGAAUAAACCCAAAACAAGUGAAGGAUAAAGAAACUAUUCACACACGCCACCAAAAAUGUGGAAUCAAAGCAAAAUAGGUCAACCAAGAGAAUUGGGAGGCAGCCAAAUCUGCUUGGGGCACAAGGCUCUCCCUCUCUCCACCUGUUUGAGAGGGCAGGCAACACAAUCAUUACGUCUUCCAGAACGUCAUGCUAUUAAAAUUUAAAUAGCAAAGUUAGUCUGUUCGAAGGUGCUUCUCAAUUGUUAUUUUCUUCUUCUUCUUUCUUCUAGUCAAUUAAUUUAUUUUGACAGAAUAAUUGUGGCCCCCUCAAUUUUAUUGUAUUGUAACAUUUAAUCUAAAAAAAAGUACAAAAAACAACAAAAAUCUGUGAAUAUGGAAAAGAGUAUAUGUUACAGAUAAGCAAAGGCUGCUGGAAAGAAAAUUAUCUGGCUGCUGGGACAAGGCAACCAUUAGAUAAGUCAGGGCUCUGGCUCUCAAUCUCAAGAAAGCUUGUAAGUAAUGUUUUCCGGGAAGAUUGUGCCUUUGAACUACCAGAAGGUAGUUUUUGACUGCCAUAAGUUCCCUUUUCAAUCUUGUUAGCUUCUUGUAUUGCCAAGAUUAUUUCUUGCAUCCUUGGUCGCGAAACUGCACGUUGUUCUACACACUGGAUUGCAACUUCAGCAAUCCUCCAAAUGGACUCGAUCUUCACAUUUCCUAUUAGGACAGGAUCUACAAUGCUCAUCGCAUCUCCUUUACGAAUCAAGGCCCUUGCCUACACAAGAUCGCAGCACCUCAGGAUUAUUAAGUCUUAAUUUGAUUUCAUAGACAGCGAUCAGCACACGAUGAUUAGAAGUAUAUUUGCUCUGAUUCAAGAAAGAUGCUUAUAUGUCUUUGGAAAGAAUGAUGACAGUGAAAAUGCAUACCCAAUGAACAAUGUUCAUCUCAGCGCCAAAAUCUUCUGUCGAAACAGGUUUUUUCCCUGAUAACAGCUCAAGGAGAACUACUCCAAAACUGUAGACAUCACUUUUUUCAGUCAAUUGCUGAUUUGCAUAGUACCUGGAGAAGCAGUUACAUGAUUGGUUAAGCAUAAGCAGUAGAGGAAAAUGAUGGUUACGCACACCAGACGAAUGUGCCUUACUCAGGAUCCAGGUAGCCGACUGUUCCUCGUGCCACACUUGAUACAUGGGUUAAAUCCUCCUCUGCUUGCCUUGAAAGCCCAAAAUCUGAAACUUUUGCUCUCAUAUUGAUGUCUAGGAGAAUGUUGCUUGUUUUAACAUCGCGGUGUAUGAUACUGGGGUUGCAUCCAGUGUGCAAGUAUUCAAGUCCUACAAUUAUCUAAAUAUAUGUUUAUUCUGUGAACUUGUAAAACAAAUACUAAUGCAUAAACAAAUGAAAAGUUCUAAAUUAACCUUUUGCUGAAUCUUCUGCAAUCUGCAGACGAGCAAGCCAAUCUAAGCGCUUCUGGUUGACAGAACCUGUUCAAAGGUCGUCUCAUUGAUCUUGAUUCAAAAUGUUACAACUAAAGAAACAAAAGGGUGGAAAUUGAGCAAUUAUCAUGUGCGGAUUGCAAACCAUGUAUGUGAUCGCGCAAAGUUCCAUUGUGCAUAUAUUCAUAAACCAGAAUACGUUGAUUUUCUUCUUCACAAUAGCCGAUCAAAGGAACCAAGUUCCUGUGAUGAAUUCUUGACAAGAGGGCAACCUGCAGGUACGUUAAUGUAGUUAAUUAACCAGCCCUUUGGAGUUCAUAACAGUGGGCUUCGUGGUCUGGUCUUAAGCUAACAAAGUUUCUUGUUCUUUAGCCCUUCAACGUUUCAAAUCUAGAACUCAACAAGUUAUGUUGGCUGAAUAUGAUGUUACCUCAGUCACAAACUGCUGGGUCAUAUGAGUGGUUGAGUCACCCAUUAUCUUGACUGCCACUUCUUUUCCCUCUUUCAUUUGGCCAUAGUAGACAGUCCCAAAACUUCCUCUACCAAUUUUUUUGGAAAAGUUUUUGGUAGCUUCUUCAAUCUCAGAGAGCGGAAUAUAGUAUGAAACUCCUUCAUCCAUCAUAUGCCAACCCCGUGAUACAGAAUACGCAGUUGAAGGUUUGGCACUAACACGCAAAGAACUACCUGAUGGACUCAAGAACACUUAAGAAAUGCAGAGAUUUUUGCUAUGCAAUAGGAAGAUAACUGAGGUAUACAGACCUUGGACUGCAGUUUUUUGAUGAGAUGUCUUUCUUUGAAGAUUACGCAAAAACAGUAAACUUCCUAUCAGAACAACUAAUAGUGCUGCAAGUAUGCCAAUCGAAACUCCAAGUAUCAACUUAGAAUGUUUCUUUUUCCCUGCCUCUUUAUGAAGUCCAGGAUUAUGUUCAUAACUGCAAGAGAGUAAUAUUGUAGCUCUUUAUAAAUGUUCUGUGCUACACAGUAUAUUUCAUUCUCCACACCAAUUUCAUAUCAGACAACAGCUCGCCACCUCUUUUAUUAUCAUACAAGCCAAAGGGUAAACAAUGACACACAAUAAUUUGAUAUACUCACUUGAUAAUAACUUUUCCAGUUAGCAACCCUGAAGGUAUUUCCCCACUAAAGUAGUUGUUCUGUAUGUACCUGCAUGAAGGCAUUUUACAGCACUGAGUAUCGGAGCAGUGUCAUGGAAACAUGACUGCAUAGGAUCAAAGGAUUGAUUGUACUUCAUUUGCAAUCAAGAGUCUGGUGAAGUGUGAAUCACCACAUAUAGUAUAUAGCGACAGUUAAGUACGUCAAGAGUGCUACUUACAGCUCUUGUAAGUCUGGCAAACUACCCAGGUACUUGGGUAAUUGACCACUCAGUUUGUUGUUCUCCAGAUGCCUGGAUGGCCAUUAAAUAGAGCAGGAAAUGGACUAGUCAGUUUUUUUACAGAUGACUGUAAAUCCGCCGAAAUAUGAACUAGUAAUCAUGCUUUUUUAGCAUAAACUUGUGAAAUGUAAGCCAUGAAUUUCGAAGCUUACACUAUUUUCAAAUUAACAAGAUUGCUUAUACUAGGGAUUGGCCCUGUAAGGAAGUUACCAUCCAACCACCUACAAAAAAGAAAAGGAUUAAGAUAGAGAAUAAUAUGAAGUAUUUCAACUCGUAUAUUGCAUAAUAUCACUUACAAUUCUGUCAAUGUCUCCAUGUUAUUAAUCUCAGGUGGAAUCUCCCCUUUCAGGUUCUUUCCUGACAGUGCACUGUUCAGCAUGUCAGCAGAGUCACGCUUAUAAGGAUCUUAGCAAGUUCGAACCAUAAACUUCUUAACUAAAGUGGCAACAUUUCUGGAGUCCAGCGCAAGUUAGCAACACCUUUUUAUAUUGUAUAGAAGGAAAAUAUUGUGGCCUUUCUUAGCAUAAUUGAUUUAUUUUUUCUCCAAGUUGAUGACCGCAGCAUGCAGUUAAACAUGGCAAAGCAAGUACUCUAGUUGACAAAUCAAUGAACAGAUAUGAAUGGAAUAAUAAGUAUUCACUCCAACUGCAACUACCUGCUUUUUUCAAACACAAGAGUCUAAAAUGCAAUUAUGCAAUAUACUUUAUGAAAUAUAUGAACAUGAUCUGGAAUUAACCAAGUGAGAAGAAGUUACAUUUUAGUGAUUCUUGGUGGUGUGGUUGAGGUGCAAUUAACCCAAUCCCAGUGAGCAGGAACACAAGGAUCGCCUUGUUCAUUUGUCCAAGCACUUUCAGCAGACAGAGAACGAAGGGCAUUGAGAACAGUCACUGCCAGUGAAGUUGUAGUUAUUCAACACAGCUAAUAUUGGCCAAGCAUAUUCUUUCUCAUAAUGUUAGGAAAUAUCAAGAACAGCAUAAUGAUUUGGAGCUCUGCAUACAGAUGGUUUUUACUUUUUAGGAUUAGAUAAACUCCAAUAUGCUGAGAUUUAUACUUACCAUCUUGGCUGUCGGUCCUUGGUUCAAUCUUUAGGUAUUUACUAAUCUCAAUCGCAUUUAAGAGUGGUCCUUGUGUAGAAUCUCUGGUCUUGACAAAAGAGAAUGAAAGGACAAAAUCCAGAGUCACAUUCAUGUAGCUGGGUUCAUAAAGUGUGUGGCUCCCAUUGGCAUUUUCUGCAAUAUUUACCACUGCGUUGCUGUAGUCAGGAAAGUAAGGUUGCUGCAAUUUGAAUUUCCGAGUCUCAUUUGCUCCCAAGUCUUCAAUUUCGGCAAAAUAUGCAUAAGCUCGAGCAUUGGCAGGGAAGUCAUCAAGGUUCAACCUAUAACUAAGUAUCCCUUGAGUGCCAACAACAGCUGUUUGCAUUACUUUAACAGGAGGGUAUUCUCUAGUCCUAGUGUCUAUGUACUUUGAUGUAUUGAUUCUAACUGUGCCAGGGGCCACACCUACAAGGUAGUUUUGCCUCUUCUCAAGAUCUGAAUCCCAAAUUCUGUCAUACGGAUCAUCCGGGUACCUGAGAGAAGCAAAUGUUAUAUAUUUUGACAUCUUUGCAUGUUUCCCAAGAACUUGAUUUAAUACAGAAGUGAGUGGAAAGCUAAUUAAUGAAGUGCUCUAUUAACUCUACGCUAUCUUUCUAUAACAUUUGGAAAUCAGCUGACCUUAUGACAUCCUUGCUCAGAGCCCCAAAAUUUACUCUGGCUGCUACCUCUAAGAAGAAAUUAUCCUCGAAAUCAGUUGCAUACAUUGAAAGGUUGAGAGGUCGCAAUUCUAGAGUGGAUAUGAAGGGAGAACCAGUUGAAGCACAGCAUAUACACACAUCAAUUGAACUUGAAGGAGCCCUGAUAAUCAUUUCCUUCACAUACACUCUUGAAGCAUCCAAUACUACCACAGUCGACCACUUCGUUGCAUCCAAGUAGAGAUCAAAUUUGGGGUAUGCAUCUCCAUUUCCUAAGAUUCCAUACUGAAAUGUGGCACGGACAAGAUACCGACGUCUCUCUUUGGUGCCAAGAGUGUAACAAUACUUCUUGCUGUCUAUAGGAAAGUCUCGCCGUCUUCGAUACUGCAUAUUUCCAUUUGGAAUUUCUACCUCUGCCGAUUUUCCAUAGUUCAUGAUGGCGCCAUUGUCUGAAACCCAUGCAAGUCCAGUUAUUGGAUCUGUGUAAUUACUUGUGCCUCCACAAUCUAUGCUGAUGAAUUCUGCAUGUUGAACAGCAAGCACACACAAAAAAAAACAUCAUUACCAUUCUAUUGUUUUCUUUCUUAUUGUUUCUGUAGUUAAUAAAUUAGGUGACUGUGACUUGGCUUGUAUCCAGCAGGCAAUCGGACAAUGAGAAAAUCAAUGAUUUUCAUUUCAUUUCUUAAUUUCAUAUACUUUCUCUUACUGUUGUCAUCACUAGUGUAGAAAUUGCAAAAGCAUGGAAAAAUACUUCAGAUUCCGACAGGAAAACAAGUUGGUAUGCUACUCGGUAACAUGGGACGACAUUUUACUUAAUCCUGAUCAAACAGGGAUUUGCUUGAAGACCAAAGAAAUUAAAUGAAAAUAUUCUUAGAAUAACAGAGUUGCAGAAUCAAGAACUCACCUGUAACUUGGCAUAUAACAGAAGACAUGAGGAAUAAAUAGAGAAGCAGAAAAUGGGAAUGCGAAGCCAUUGAGGAACAGGAAGACAAAAACCAAUCCUAUGAUCUUAUUGUUUUAGUGUUAGAAUUUGUCAGUGAUUGAUGAGCUCCAUAACUGUUUGUGAAGUCGAGCAUCUAACCUACUUUCCUCCACUGCUCAGAACUUGCCUUUCACUCUCUGUUUCUUCUUUUGACUGAUGAGGGUGUGCGAUGUUCACUCACGUUAUGUCCUCCUUUUCCCUUUGGAAUCUUAUUUUUGGAGCAAAUCAAAAGAUCUCAAGCUCUGCUUUAUUUCCUUUGUUAAAGAAAUCCAACUUGUACUAGCAGUUUGUUUGUUCUGUCGAAGAACAGGAAAUCUUGUUUCUCUUGUUGACAGACAAAAUAACGCGUGCACUCAUCUCAAAUAAUCAAGUUAUUUUUGUAAAUAUUAUCAUUACAUGAUCAAAGUAUGAAUAUGGAAUUUCAUUAAUUGAUGAAUCAACAAAUCAUUAAGGCUUGUGAUCCCUGUCAAAAGGGUCAGUGGGGAUCGGGAAUGAAACACUAGCCAUGCAUAAAGCAUCCCUAAAAGCAGAGAAAAGCAGAAGGAUUACUGCUGCUGCGGAAUUUAAUAAUCUGCUCUUACUUUAGCUUUUGUGGAGCACAAAAUCUCCUUUUUCUGUCACUUUGGACCAACUUGUCUUUUGCUUUUCAAGAUUUUCAUAUUGCUAGUUUGAAAAAAAUAUACAAAUCAGUGUCUGUUGAUUAAAAUAACAUAUUAUUUUUUUAAUUAUAGCACAUAAGUUACAAAAUUCAAUUUACCACUGAACUCAAACCAACGAAUCUCAAAUAAAUUCUAACAUAUAAAUUAUACAUUAAUAUAAUAAUUUUUCAGAAAAAAAACUAUAAAACUUAUAAAUAUACAAAUAAACUAUAGAUACUACAAAAAAUAAUAAUAAAUUAACCAAGUUACAAGGAAAUAUAUGAUUUAAAUGUUAAAAUAAAUCAAUUUAGAGUUGACGUAAUUUAAUCUCUUAAAACAAUUACUUCAUUGAUCACAACUCAAUUUGGUAUUUUAAAAAGGUUAUAUAUAUUUUUUUAAUUAAUAUAAAUAUCCAGAUUAAUUUAUAUAUAUCUUAAUUAAUUUUACAAAUAUUAAAAUUAACAAUUAUAUAAUCUGGUAGUAGUCAUUUUAUUAUCACCACGUAACUCGAAAAUGAGAAGAUGAAAAUAUAUAUUUUUAAUAAUAUUAGUAAUAGGGUUAACCGAGUGAACGGAUUAACUUUGAUGUGAUAAGGGCAAAGAUCUGCAUUGGUCCCACCAAAAUCUUAAACAACAAGAGAAAUGAUCGUCUGACUUCGGAAGUCUCAGAACAUUACUAAGCCGAUGACAUGGCAUCUUAUUAGCCAUUAAAUUUCAUCGAUAGAGGAGAGAAUCUAAUGUCCAUGCAAAACAUUAACACCAAAAGUUGGGUAUGGUGAAAUUCUAUCCAUUAAAAGAAUACAGAAGAACUCCAAUCAAAACGGUCCAUGAAAUCUGGCUUGUUUUUAUAAUUGAUUGUGUUUUCACUUUUAGUUGGUCGGUCGGUCGAUCGGUUGAAAGUUGAGAUGUACAACAAGGAUGACCCGGUUUCAUUCUAUAAUAAUAAUAAAAAAAUUAGUAUUGUUGAUUAUGAUAUCCAAAAAAAUGCAAUAUAUUUAAGAAAUUUGAUGUUUAUACGGUGAUUAAUUAAAUAUUUAUGUAUUCUUUUUUUAUAGGAAGUGCAAAAAUUAAUGAGACUAAUCCAAUUAUUAGCCAAAAUAUUCCUAAUAAGUGAGAUUUAAAAAUCAUCAGAUAAUAAAAUUAAUAACUUUAAAUGAGAUGAUAAUAAAUAAAAAAAGCUUUUAAUUCUAAAAAUAAAGGUAUCUGUUCUUGAUAUUUUGUGAUUAAUGUUAUGAGAUAUAUAAGUUUUUAUGAUAUGAAAAAAUAAACUUUUGUCUAGAUGGUUAGAGAAUAUUUAUAACUCCUGGACCUUGUUGUUUUUAUGAAAAGUUUUUGCUUUCGAAUACAUCAAUAAAUGAUAAAGAAACAAAAAACUGGUUCAUCAAAGGUAUUCUAUUUCUAAAAGAAAUAAUAAAUAAAUUUUCAAAAUAAAAAAGAAAUCCAAUUCUAUUAUUUGGAUUUAGAGAAGUAUAUGAAUUAAAUGAAACUAAAAACGAAAAAAAUUCACCAAUCAAUAAUCGGACUAUUCAUAAAUUUUCCACUUCAAUUCGAUCUAUGGAUUGGAUAAACUAUUCACUGACAGAAAAAAAAAAUGAAAGAUCUGAAUGCCAGAACAAAGACAAUAAGAAAUCAAAUAGAAAAAAUUACAAAAGAAAAGAAAAAACGAUUUCUAAUCUCAGAAAGAAAUAUUAGUCCUAACAAACUAAGUUAUAAUGCUAAAAGAUUAAAAUUAAAAUCAUCAAAAAAUAUUUUACAGAUAUUAAAAAGAAACAAUGCUCAAUUAGUCCGUAAAUCAUAUUUUUUUAUCCUACAAAUAUAUCGAGAUAAAUAAUAUGAUCUGGCUCUUAGAUUUAUUUAUGGCCUUCGAGGAGCCAUAUGAGGUGAAAAUCUCAUGUAUGGUUCUGUAAUAGCGAUGGGAACAGUGAUGUCAUCACCGACUAUGAUUAUCUAACAGUUCAAGUACAGUUGAUAUAGUUGAGGCACAAUCAAAAUAUGGUUUGGGGGGAUGAAAUUUGUGGCGUCAACCUAUAGGAUUUAUCAUUUUUUUCAUUUCUUCCCUAGCAGAAUGUGAGAGAUUACCUUUUGAUUUACCAGACUUAAUUGUAUAUACACAAAGAAUGUAUAUAGAAUAUAGAAAAAAAAGCCAGCUAUCGGAAUCGAACCGAUGACCAUCGCAUUACAAAUGCGAUGCUCUAACCUCUGAGCUAAGCGGGCUCACAUAACAGAAAUUGUACAUGCACAGGAAUUUAGUAAACUACUGGAACCUUAGCUAUUCACUUUUCAUUCGUAGUAAUUCAUAAUUAAAUUAAAUGAAUAUAGAAAAAUGAAUUGAAUAAAAAAAAAAGAAUUGAUCGUUCGAGUAUUCAAAAUUGCACAAGAAAAAUGAUUCGAAGAAAAACAUAUAGAAUAAAUGUGGUAUAUAUGCAUCUAUAUUGAAUUGCGGAUACAUAAAUGAUAGAAUGAUUUCUGAUUAGACCAAAUAGGGGUCCAAAAUAGAUAUGAAAGAGGCUAGACAAGAAAUCAAAUAAAAUAUUAAAAUAUAGAGGAAACACUUUUUUAGGAAUAUAGGAAUCGGUAUCUAAUGACUUUAACAGUUCCAGUAGAAUAAAAAUGAAUGAAAAAAGGGAAUGACAUAAUAACAUAAUAAUAAGAUCUGAAUCUCAAAACACAAAACAAAGAGGGGAUAUGGCGAAAUUGGUAGACGUUACGGACUUAAUUGGAUUGAGCCUUGGUAUGGAAACUUACUAAGUGAUAACUUUCAAAUUCAGAGAAACCCCGGAAAAAAAAGGGCAAUCCUGAGCCAAAUUCUAUUUUUCGAAAACAAACAAAAAAACAAACAAAGGUUCAUAAAGACAGAAUAAGAAUACAAAAGGAUAUGUGCAGAGACUCAAUGGAAGUUGUUCUAACAAAUAGAGUUGACUGCGUUGCAUUAGUCAAGUAAAGGAAUCCUUCUGUUAAAGUUAAAAUUCCAGAAAAAAGAAAGUUAAAGUAAAGUAUAACCCUUAGAAGAUUUAGCUUGUAUAAAUCGCUAUUGGUUUGAUACCAAUAAUGCUAGUCGGUUUAGUAUGAUAAGGAUACAUAUAUGUCCACGAUUAAAAAUUCGGUAAAUGUCCAUUUGUCAUAUAUAUCCCAUAGCAUAUCUAAUCUAGUAUAUGAAAUAUAUGAAAACAAGGAGAGGUAUAUAUACAUUGUUUUACAUCCCAUAUUCCAUUCUGAUACAUGGAAUUCAAUCAGAAUUGAGCAUAUCAUUAAUCCCUAAACCCAAUGUGAGUUUUUCUAUUUUGACUUGCUCACCCUCCGUUAUGAUCGAAUAAGAAUGGAUAAGAGGCUCGUGGGAUUGACGUGAGGGGGUAGGGAUGGCUAUAUUUCUUGGAGCGAACUCUAAGCGAAUAUGAAGCGCAUGGAUACAAGCCUUGAAAUGAAAGACAAUUCCGAAUCAGCUUUGUCUACGAACAAGGAAGCUAUAAGGACAAAUAUUCAAUUUUGAAAGAACUUAUUGUCAACCUCUUUUGGAUAUUAAUCUAUCUGAUUCAGAAGGGAAGAACUUGCAUCAGUAUCUCAAUUUCAAUUCAAACAUGGGUUUGAUUCACACUCCAUGUUCUGAGAAAUAUUUACCAUCCGAAAAAAGAAAAAAACGGAGUCUUUGUCUAAAGAAAUGCGUUGAAAAGGGGCAGAUGUAUAGAACCUUUCAACCAUCGAGGAAUUUGUUUACUUAUUUCUUUUUUUAUUUCUGUAGAUUUUUUUACAAUUUUUUUAUUCUUGGAAUCCACUAUAAUUGCAUCAAAUAAAAAUUUUAAAAUUCUUAUUCGAUCCUCCAUUUUUGGUUCAAAUUCUUGAUAAUUAGAAAUAAGAAGGAUAAGAUAAAUUUUAUUUAUCAAAAGCAUCUCUAUGUAAUUUUUUAUGGAAAUUUCAUUUAUGAUUGAGGGUGAAAAAAAAAAUUGACUUUUCCACGAUAGAGCCCACUAAAAAAAGGAUCUUUAUUACAUAUCAUUAGUCAGAUAAAAAAUAUGGUAGAUGUUUUGAGAGAUCUUUUAUAAUUCUAUAGAUGUUGGAGGAUAAUUAUCUAUGAUAUGAAUAUCUCAUAUAACUAAUUUGAAGAUAGAACUCUAAGAUGGAUUUUCAAGUUUAAUUGAGUUUGACGUGUAGCUAAAUCUAGAAAAAAAUAGGUUUAAUGUCCUGCCAGACCUAUAAUAACUUGGGCUGAACUUAUAGCUGAACCCAAGUAUGUUAAGAGGGUGUUUGGAAGUGUGGUUGUGGUUGCUUUUCAAAGUGCUUUUCACUGAGAAAAGUGUGUCAAUAAUAUUUUUUUUAUUUUUUAAAAAUUAUUUUUGAGAUCAACACAUCAAAAUGAUUUGAAAACAUCAAAAACAUAUUAUUUCAAAAAACAAAAUUUAAAUUUUUUCAGAAACGCUUUUGAAAAGCACUUCCAAAAAGACUCGUUUAUAUAUUUAUAUAUUUAGACUUUUUCAAAGCACAUAAAUAUUAAAUAAAAAAUACAGAAUCAUGAGUUGGGGUCGUUUUUCUUUUUUUAAUAAAACAACGUUAUUUUAAAAAAAUUAAAAAUUAUUUAUCAAAUCAUGAUUCGCCAGGUCACAAUCCGGAUAACUUUUCAAAUGGCUAAAAAAAAAAACCCAAAAUGUAUAAGAUCCCAGAUGAACAGCUUUGACAGGAUUCUCGGCUAUUAUCACCAUCAACACCGCCGCCAUGAAACUUAGCUUCCGUGAUUCAGAGGGCCAGGUUUCGUCAAGUGCUCAUAAAUACAUCCAUGGGGAGGUUCAACAAUCUGGUUGUUGGAGAAGCAAUGAGAACGGUCUUCGGUCUGCAACUAGCUGUCUCAUCGGGCUUCACUAGCCUGAUAGUUGAAUCUGAUCAUCCACUGCUCAGCCAAGCUUUAUAAUGCAGGCACGAGUUGGGCAAUUCCUGUGAUGAUAUUAGCUUCCUUAACCCAAUCUUUUCAGGUACACAACUUUAGGGUUAAUCUUAAGAAAUAGCAAUCAAUUUGCAAAUUGUUUGGCGUCUUUUGCUAAAACUUACAGGGAGGAGUGUGAUUUUAUAGAGGAUGUUCCUCCUAUUGCUUUAUUUUUACGUUACGCAUGAUGAACCAUCUUUCUCCAGACAUUAUUAACUAACGAAAGGAUUCUUGGGUUCCUAAAAAUACAGUCGAGGUUAGUAUGAAAACUGAACAUGAAAAAUAUUAUUCUCACUUUAUGUUUUUUAUACUUUGAUUGGAAUAUUCAAUAUCGAAGAAUUAAAAAGUUACAUGAAAAGUUUAUUUUUUUCAAUUUAUAAAUUUGUUGAGUGGCAAUAACAACAAAAAAAAGAAAAGAAAAGGGGAUAAUGGCAGCCUCGAAAUUCACUUCGAGGGUGAAUCUAUAAAAUAUACACGAAGUGCGUAAAUAUACCUAUGUUUGUUUUUGAGUGAUAAUUUUUUUUUUUUUUAUAGUUUUAAUGUGAUAAUAUAAAAAAAUAUUAUUUUAAUUAAUUUUAUUUUAAAAUAAUCAUCACUAUAACACGAAACAGUAUAUUGUUCACUUAUUUUAAGGUUGAAGUUUGCACAUAUGUCAAAAUCAUAAUUUGAGCUUGAAUUUAUAGAAUAUUUAAGAGUGUGGUAGUAAUUAUUUUUAAAAUAUUUUGUUUUUGAAAAUAUAUCAAAAUAAUAUAUUUUUAAUUUUUUAAAAUUUAUUUUUGACAUUUGUAUAUCAAAAUAAUUUAAAAAAAUCAAAAAAAUAUUAAUUUAAAACAAAUAAACAAAUAAAUAAAAAUUUAAAAAUAUUUUUAAAACACAAAAAUAAACUAUAUCUAAAUUAUAUAACCAAGAACACCCCCGGCAGGAAAGAAAAGUUGUGAAAAAAAUUCUAAUUUCGGAUUGGUAAUUUAACAUUGGGAUAAAUGUAUUACAAGUACACUCAUAUUUAGUAUUUCUCUCCUUUUUUUGUCAUUUGAGUAUAUCAACUUUUUUAAAACCACUAAUCAAGUAUUUUUCGUCCAGUUUUUAUUAAUUGUUUCAUCAUUUGAUGUGUUCUUUACCUCCACGCUAUUAAACUAUAAUUCUUCUCUUUCACCCUUGGAGGGAACCUUCCCUCCCAAAUUACUUUCCCUACAUGACACGAUUGAGAAAUUGAGAAGAUUAUUUUUAUAGAAUUUUUCCAAGAACAAAGGUGUUUAAUUGAAGAGGAUAAGGAGGGAGGAAAGUCAACAUCAACAACAAGAUGAGAUACCUUAGCCCAAGUUUUGAUUUAUAUUUGUUACAGAAAAAUAAUGAAUGCAAAGGAAAGGAAAGAUACAUUGGACAGACAGACAAGGUAUCUCUUUCUUUUCUUCAACUGUGGAAGAGGUUUGAUCACUAAGCAAUGCCUCCCUCUCUCUCUCUCUCUCUCUCUCUCUAAGAGUCUCCAUCUUCUUUUAUCCUUCCAAGUUCCAACAUUCCCUCAACAGAACGAAGCCAUACCAACUUCCUCAAAAGACACCUUUUUCUCAUCCUUCCACUCUUUCUCUCUCCCCCUUCUCAGGAGUCAAAAGAAGAGAACCAAAUGUGGCAAAAACAGCCCAGUAAAUCAUCCUUUAGAGAAUCUCUCAAAGUUCUUGAAGCUGAUAUACAACAUGCCAAUGCGAUGUAAGGCUUACAAUUUUAUUCAUUCCCUUACUCCUAUGCUGAUUUUGAUAUUUUAUCAGUAAUUGGUAAAGAACCCUGCUUUACUUUCCUGGACUUGUGUGAUUGCCUUCUUCUGUUCAGUUGAGGUAUGUGGGCUAGAAAUCUGUCACAACAAAGAUAGAGUUGGUGAAUUUGAAUAUGAAAUUGGGUUUAUGAUGGAUGAUAUGUGUCUUUCGCCUGUGCUUUUCUAAUUUGGUUACAAGUGCUGUAAUUGGAAAUGGGGCAUAUCCUUUAACAAUGUUUCUUAUUUUCUAAUACAUUGUGGUUCUUAUUUUCUUUUCGGGAUUCGUUUAGACACAAAGUUUGACUUUGAUCAUUUUUCUAGUUUGCAUUUAUUCUUCAUGUAAUAUUCCUUUUCUAUGCUUGUUGUGAACUGUUAAGGGUUCAUUAAAUUGAGGUUUGAUAGGGGUUUUUGCAGGGCGGCUGCUCUCCCAGGAGAUUGUGGUGCGAAUUGUGUGCAAAUGAGGUUGUCAUAUAGCUCCUUUGCCCCCUUCAUCUUGUUUUUGGUGGAAUGGAUGGACUAUAGUUGUACAGAUGCCCUCCCUAGUUAUUUAGGCCUUCUCCACAUACUUGUAUAUAAGGUAGGUUGGUGUUUGGUUCAGCUUAUACUUAAUCACUCCUUCUGAGUAUUAUUUUUGGAAGAGAUUAGAGGGCUUAAUUAGAGGGUUGUUUGUUGAAAUGCAGUUCUGAGGGUUUUUUUUUUCUCUUUCAUUUUCUCCUUCUUUUUUAGUAGCUUUAAAACACUCGAAUUAAGUUCAUUUUUAUCUAGGUAUAUGUUGAUGGAAUGCCAUCGUUGUCCUCCAAAGAAAAAAAGGCCAGUCUAAGGGAAUUUUAUGGUAUGUACAUUUCAAGGACUUUUUGCUAUUGGCUUAUUGUCCAUCUCUUCUUUCUUGUUUGACCUCUGAGCGCUUUCAAUUCACCUAUCCUUUCAGCUAUCAUAUACCCUUCUCUGAGACAGCUUGAAGGUGAGUUUAUUGAAGUGGAAGAUAACCAUAAGAGAAGCAGCACUGAUGUUUUGAGCAGAAAGAGAAUGGAAGACCAGAGGAAGCUAUCUGAAAGCGAUUUUGAGAGAGACGAAGAGUGUGGGAUAUGCAUGGAAAAUAGUGCAAAGAUGGUAUUGCCCAACUGUGGGCACUCCUUGUGCAUCAGCUGCUUCCAUGACUGGUAAGUCAGUUUGCAAUUAUUCAUUUACUUCUUGUAGGUUGCUUCUUAGCAUAACGAUUAGGAGCUGCACUUUCUGAUUCUUGUAUCUGCGAAGUAAUGUAAUCAAAUUUGGACAGGAAUGUGAGAUCUCAGUCCUGCCCUUUUUGCCGUGGCAGCCUAAAGAGAAUGAGCUGUACAGAUUUAUGGGUUCUCAUUAGUAAUGAUGAUGUUAUCGAUACAGUUGCUCUUGCCGGGGAGAAUCUAAGGCGUUUCUACCUUUACAUGGACAACCUGCCUAUUCUAGUGCCUGAGACUCAAGCGAUUCUGUUUGAUUACAUGAUCUGAUUUGUAGAAAAAGAAUGCAGUGAAUCAUACAGACUGCCAGCCAUUAUUGUACAUACUAGUAUACGAUGGAGUAGUUCGAUUUCAUCCACCAUGUGGCUGGUUAAAAAUGACGUUUCAGUGGUAGCUGUAUGUGAUCAACUAAAUUGCUGGAUACUUCCCCAUGAGUUAUGAAUCAGGUGGCUAGCAGAAGAAACAUCAUCAGCGGCCGCCACAACAUGAAAGGUUAAGCCCUGCAUGUAUAUGGGAUGAGCAAUGCAUGUAAUUAGUAAAUACGAAUAGAAAAGAUAAGCAUGGCAUUCAACUCAGCUUUUUGGAACCUGAGUGUUGGAAAUGAAGAAGCAUAGAAACUUAUUGCUUGUGUGAGUACUUGGCCUAUGUUUACCACGCUGUGUUAGUACGGCAAACAUCAUGGAUCAAAUAUAUGAUAUAUGACAUGUUCCUUGCUAUCAUGAGAUUGCUUAAAUAAUCAACGGGCCUGCCUGUUCAUGUCUUUUCUGUGGUUCAACCUGUUUGUGACAGCUGAAACUUUCCAUGGCUGGUUUUAAAUAGGAGGCAACUUAAUUUAAACCCAUCAAAAUAUUAUAUUCUCAUCUUAACAUCACUCAGAUAGCAGACGUUUCAAGGAGGUGACUAUUCUGAAACUGCUGUUUGAAGGACGGCAGGUGAGAAAUUGUAUAGGGAAAGUAGUAAUUAACGAUAUCUAUUUCCAAUUCUUCAUGGUUUUGCAAGGAGGGGGUCAAAGAAAAACACAGCAUUCUCAAAGUUUCUGCUGCGAUCAGCAUCAACUUCCUUAGCUUUUUCCUGCAAUCACCAGUCGGGCUUCAGGUUUUUCUCCUUUGGUAUCGUUUCCUCUCACUUUUGCUUAGGAACAUAAUCUCGUUUAUCUUCCCUAAAGAUAAUGUAUUAACAGAGAACUUAGUUGAGAUUCUCCAAAUGAUCUCGAAUCCAGUUGUUAAGUAUAUCCAAAUUAUGAACUGAAAUUAUCAAGGGCAUGUGCGCUUGAACUUAAUCUCCUUAACUAGAAGAAUACAAUUACUUCUUAUAUAUGGAAGUCAUUAUUAUUAUUCUGAGAAUUACUGCUUAACCUUCCUGCAGUGAUGGGGCUGUAUCGUAUCCAACAGGGAGGUGGCCCGUUUGGCCUAGUUAUCGUAAUCCAAUCUGUCCGGUGAAUCUGAAAUCAGCUCCAUCUCACACACCACGCUCCAGGUCCAGUGUCUUGGACCCAAAACUGGUGGCAAAAAAUAGGAUUAGGGGUGAUAAUCACGGGCGCCGAAUAUCACUUGCAAAACAGAAGCUCGAUUUCAUUAUUCUUUCACAACAAGACCAUGCCUUGGGAUAAUGUCAAGCUUGCUCAAACACAAUGAUAAAAUAGAAAAAAUAAAAUAAAAUCGUGAGACAUUAUUUUAAUGUAGAAUCUAAUGAUGAAUCCAACUACUAUUGUAAUAACUUUUUAAUAUUUAGCAUCACGAGGUUGAAUAGGUUACUUUAGUUUUACAUGAACUUGUAAAACCAAAAACUUACAAAGACAAUGGUGCCACAAAACCCCCCCGCACUUCAUUAUCUGCACAAAAAACUAGAGGUAUUUUUAUAUAGGAUAUUAUAUAGGAUAUUGUGAUACAUGAUUUUUUUUAAUUUUUUAAUAUUAGUACAUUAAAACUAUAAAAAAACACUAAAAAGUACGAUUUGAUAUCUUUUUAGGUAAAACACACUUAAAAGCAGAAGCUACCAAACUAUUAGAAUAAAACCCAUGCUUAGGCACUUCAUUAGCCGCGUCAAAAACUAGAUUAGGGCAUAUUUUCGAACACAUUGUUCAUUCCAUUAUUUAUUUAGCAUCUCCCAGCAGGUAAUUAGAAGAUUAGAUAGUGAGAAAAAUAAUGAAUGCAUAAAGUUCAAAGAAUAAAAAGAUAUAAGAUUUAAGCAUCAUAGGAGGGAAUUAAGGGGAGAGUUAUAUUCUAAACUUUUAAUUAAACAAAUAAAAAGCAACACCCCACUUAAGAGAAAUUCCCUAUUUGUUGCUUACCCUCUUUUUUAGUAUAUAAUUCUCUCUCAAAUAAAGUAAUUGGUAGUGGGCAUUUCCUUUUAGAGUUUUCCUCUUCCUUUUAAAAUCCUUUCCUACCCCACUCUCAAAAGGUAAAUAAUCUUUAAUUAAGCAUUGAUUGUCGAGAGCUUUCUUAAUCACCUAUAUAAAAUCAUUAACCUAAGAGAAUAACCAGCAAAUUACUCUAAGAUUGGUCUAAGGUUAAAAGAAAAGACGUUAGACCCACUAAUGGGGUUCGAGAUGUACUUACAAAUCAGUACUUUGGUAUGUGUUUCAGCUUGAAGAAAAGCGCAAGUGGCUGGUGAUCAACUUCUAAUUGCUAAUUAGAGGGCUUAAGUGAUUGAUUAUUGGUGCUAAAACGGUGAUUAAUUAAUGAUGAGAUGCCCUCUUUUUAUCAGCACCAAGUUUGGAGCAAAUGGCACUACUAAUUGUGGCCUCAAAAUCUCUUGCUUUUCGUAAGUUGCUAUCGUGGCCUCAAUCAACGACAUCUAGCUCUAGAUUAAGAUACCGAUUGCCAUUAAUUCCUUUCACAUCACAAUCACACCAUGAACGAUUGAGCAUCAUUCUAUAUAUCCAGCUAUAAUAAGAAAUUAAUCAUGCGAAUCAACGGUUAGUGAGCUCUUGAAACGUUUUCCUUUUACGUGAGAGUGCUUAGGUCACGAGCCUGCAUGUCAUGUUGGUAUUUGUUUACAUUACUUGGCGAAAACCAUCAGCAGAAAGAAGCUCAAUUACUCUGUGGAAGGCUUAUAAAUCCCGUUGCGUUGAGUGCUGUGCGUUCCACCAUCACAAACAACGCAGGAGAUAGAAGAAAAAGACGUGAGCAAAACUGGUGCGCUGAAAAAACUUUGAUCUCAUAGCUAGAGCUAGGUAGAAAUUACGUUGGAUUCCCACUUCUAGCUAGGUUUUCAAGCUCAACACAUCAUCAAAGCGUGGAAAAAACGACCCAAUACAUGCGUGACAGCAGCCAGUGCUAGCUCGAAAGAUGAGAGAUUUCCAGCUUGACAUUGAGAGGAGGAGUUCGUGCCACUUAGUCAUUGGAAUUUGCAUGUUUAAAGCUUGUUGAAUGCAGCUCGUUGAGCUCCAACACUUCUGGUUCUUGCUGGGUCAUAUGAUUGUGUACCCUUUGGACUAAAAUAUUACAGAACCUUACACAACCAUGCAUGUAUGCACAUAAGGAUGUUUUAAUAUAUAAGAAUUAUUGAGAAUCCAUAUUCCAUAGGUUUCCAUUCUCCCACCAUUGAUAAUUUAAUAUAGAGUUCUUUCCCUUUCAUGUGUGUGUGUGUGUGUGUGUGUGUGUGUGUGUGUGUGUGUGUGAGAGAGAGAGAGAGAGAGAGAGAGAGAGAGAGAGAGAGAGAGAGAUUAACUUGGCUUGUAUUUAUAUUUUAGGUCUAGUCUUCAAUAUAUUUUUAUAAGCUUAAUAGUUUUCAAUUUGUUUUUAUAUUUAAAUUAAUGCAAAACUUUUAUGUGAGAAACUCAAGUUUAAUAUAAUUUUUUCUAGUUAUUUUUUAUAAACUAGGUCGGUUUGAGUUUAUGAGCAUUUCAAUAAAUCUUGAUAAAAAUAUUAAUAAAACAAUAAUGAUUAUAUGAAUAAAUUGGAUUUAAUUAUAUUUACAGAGAUAUAUUAACAAUUGAGCUUAAUAUAUAAGGAUAGAUUAAACCAAUUCCUCUAAGAAAAAAAAAAGGUUGAGGGAAUGCUAGGGUUUAACACUUGGGGUUAAAAAAGAUCAUAAAUACACAUGCCCGCCACUAGUAAUGUUUUCCAUCAAUAAGAAUAGAUUACAAGAAAAAAAGUGAUUAGCCAUUCUAUCCAAUUAAUCUUUCCAUCAAUAUCGAAAUUAUUGGUGGAUUCCACCAAUUUAAUUCCACCAAUAUCGAAAUUACUGAAGGAUUCCACCAAUUUAAUUUAUUAACAUCACUUCAUCUUAAUUUUUUUUUGGUUAAAAUGUCCCACAAUUAAGAUUGGCUGUGGAUAGUCGCAACUAUUAAAAUUCUGAUCAAGGAUGCAUAGAUGGAUUAAUUAAUGUUAACCUAAGUUAGGGUAACUUCAAGUUAUAUAACAAAACCUCGGAUAGUCUCCAACUCACAUGAGACCAGCCUCACAUAUAGACCAGAGAGAUAACAGCUACUGGGGUGACUAAAAAUACAAUAGAUGAAAGUUUGGGAUUAAAAAAUUUGCUUUUUUUAUAGUUUCAGGUUCGAGCCAUGUGGUUGCUUAUAUGAUGGUCACUGGAGGCUUACAUGGUCGUUAACUUCAGGGCCCGUGAGAUUAAUCGAGGUGCGCGUAAGCUGACCCGGACACCCACGUUAAACUAAAAAAAAAAAUACGAUAGUUGUGAUAUAGAUGUAAUGUGUAACUUAACUGGUUAGUUUUUAGAUUUGCUGUCUAGAAGUCACCAGUUUGAAUUUCAUAAACUUCAAGAUCACUGUAGGCUUAUAUGUUCGUUAACUUCAGGACCCGAGAGAUUAGUUGAGGUGCGUUCAAGCUCAUCCGGACAUCCAUGUUAAUAAAAAAAAAUACGAUAGUUGCUGUUUUUUUAAAGUAUAUUUUAUUUGAAAAUGUAUUAAAAUAAUAUUUUUUUUAUUUUUAAAAGUUAUUUGUAAUAUUAAUAUAUUAAAACAAUUCAAAAAUAUAUAUAUAAAUAUUAAUUUUAAAUUAAAAAAAUAAUUUAUUUUUAAAUACUGUUUGAAAUGCAAUUCCAAAAUGCCUGUUAUCCUCUACUCAACAUUAAUCUUUCCCUUAAUUAUUUCAUUAAGAAAUUAUUGGUUCAGAUUAUAUAUAUAUAUUGGAAUGAAGAUUAUCGUUAAUCCAAUUGGAUUAACUUUUAAAAUUCCUUGAGAUGCCUAUUUUUCCAUUCAAACAUUCUUUAAUUCCACCUCAGGUUCUAUAUAUCUUUACUAAAAAGUAAAUUCUACGUUAGAUUUCUCACAGCUAAUUCCAAACUUUUUUCCAUUUUGAGCUGCAAAAUGAACAUAAUUUCCUCCAUCUUUUAUUGCCAUGAAUGAUCAAAGUCAAGCCGAAAGAGAAAAGUGUUUCAUUUAAUUAAUUUCUCCUUAACAAUAAAGUUAUUCAUAAAAUAAUUUUGCAUGUUAAGAAAUUACCCAAUAUACGAGAACAAUACUCCACAAAAAUAUGAAAUUUAUGAAUUAUUUUUAUAAUAAAUUCUUGUUAGGAGAAUACGAAAUAUAAUUCCUACCAAUCAUGCCUCAUAAUUUCUCUCGUGUAGAACCUGUAAAGUGCUUAGAGAGAGGGAGGGAGGGAGGGAGGGAGGCAACUUGAGGUGGCUAAGAACUCAAAGAACUCAACAGGAACCGUUAAGCUGAAACCUAAACCGGCGCCAAAGACAAUAUUCUGUUGGGUACUUUCUCAACAGUGCAUGUCUCUCUGUCUCUCUGUCUCUCUCUGUCUCUUCUUAAAACCCAAACAAACAAACAAACCCAGUUUUCACUUUAAAAACCCAGACAGGUUUCUCUCCUUGAGGACUGCUACUACUCUACUCUCUUAAUUCUCACACUCAUUCAUAGUACUGACUCUGUCUCUCCGUCUCCUUUUCCGUCCCUGCCAUGAUGGAGAAUGGUUUCUCCUCUCCCCGGAAUGAUUCGUUUCCUGCUGGUCUCCGUGUUCUCGUUGUCGAUGAUGAUCCCACCUGGUUAAAAAUCCUUGAAAAGAUGCUCAAGAGAUGCUCUUAUGAAGGUUAUUAACUAUUUUCCACCUCGGUUUCUUGCUAGUACUGCUCUUCUUAGUUGCUUCUUGCGGUUUCUUUUUCACUUAAAAACUGCUGUUUGUUUGUGAACUGGGUUUUAUUUUUGCUUCCCAUGGUUUCAUUUCUGUCAGAUGGUGACUUCUACUCCAUGUUUCUUAAUUUCCUGUUAUUUGGUGUUUUCUUUCAAGGGAUAUCUUACUUUCUUUGUUAUAAGCUAGUCCAUGGAGAAUUCGCAAUUUUUUUUGGUUUUUUAAGUUGAGCAAGUGACAUGCCACUAAAGGGAUCAUGCUAAAUUGUGCACGGAAGGUUAUUCUAUUGUUUUUAAGCAUUUCUGGGGUAAAUUGUUUCCAGGAAUUCUUCAUGUCACCUCAACUAAUCUAAUCAGAAGCAAUUUGUUAAGUGAAAGCAUUUCAAGUUCCAAAUUUAGAAUGUGUGAAUUUCAUCUCUGUAGACUGGCUCAUAUGUUAUUGCAAAAGUGGAGUAAUUGUAAGGGGUUGGCUCACUUGUGGGAUUUUGACUUAAAAGUCUAUAAAAGGCUAAAAGUUGUCUUUGAGUCGAUUAGGAAGUGCUUUUAUUCUCCUUCUUGAAAAAAAAGAAAAAAAAAGUGCUUUUAUCCUCACACUUCUUCUGUGAUCUGUUGCUUCUCUUGAUUUCAAGAUUUCAACUCUGGAAUUACUUUUUUGAACAGAAAUAUGCAAGUUCAUCAAUGAUGUUGUGCUACUCUUUACAGAUUUGUCCUUUUUCUUUUUUGCAGCUGGUUAGAGUAAUUAGAAGGUUUAUUGAUGUUUGCUCCACUUGCCAACUAAACUAAUGAAAGUAUGAUACACAGAGACAAUGAUUAUAUCUUCCAAAAAGUUGAGUCUGAACUCCACGGAGUUUUAUUAUUCUAGGCAUUAGAUGAUGAUAACACAAGUAUGAUUGAUGGUUAGUGCAGAUUUGUUUACUUUAUGAGACAGCAUGAUUAGUAACUACAAUCAUUUUGAUCUGCUACAACGUAUUUCAACGAGCUUCUUCAAUAUGUAGCACUAUAAGGAGCAGUUAAUGGUAGGAAUUAAUGUGUUGGAUUCUUGAUGGAAUGUUAAUGUAUCACCAAACCUAUUGAAACGGCACCAACUUGGCAAGGAAUUAGCUCAUCUCAACUUGUUUAAUUUUUAUCUUCUGAGGGUAUUUAAUUACCUCAGCUGUAGUAAUCUCAAGUGUGAUGAGAUUGAAUAGUCUGUCUGUCUGGCAACGUUGUUGGCUUUUAUGUGUUGAUGGUUCUGGUCAUAGCUAUCAUUGUAGCAAAUGUUGUUGCCAAUUAUAUUUGCUGUUUAAAGUGAUUCUGGUGUUGAAGACCAAAAUAAUGAUAAAAGAAAAAAUCAUGAUUCGAUUAACACAAAUAUUAAUAGAUAUAAAAUGUAUGAAAUUACAAGAUUUUUAAGGAUAUUUAACAAAAGAAAUUUGUUUCACCACAGAACUAAUGAGCAUCGAUUUCCGAAUUUUGAUUUCUGGCCAUGUAAACUACUUCCGUGGCUGCUUUUUCUUUUGUUUUUUUCCCUUACCAAAAACUUAAUGGAAGUGUAGUGGGUGGAAAAGCACCUCCAUUGCAGUUCCAAACACAUGCUAAGCUGAGCUAAUCAUUUUACAUGCUAGCAUUAAUGUGCCCUGGCAUUUUCAUUCUAUCUAGAAGGAUAUGCUUCAUUAAUGCAAUUCCCUAUAAGUUCUUAAGCACUUAAAGUCAACCUGGUUUAUGGUUUUUAUGCCUUUAACAUCAUGAUGUUCUUCUUACUUUUUUAGUAUUUCAUAUCCUCGCAGUAUUAUCUUGUUCAGUGAAAAUAUCAUUCUCUUAUGCUGGAUUUGAUUCUAUAGCAAGAUUCUUGGCUUUUGACCAUAUGUGGAGUGUUUCACAUUUUCAUUUGGAAUGCUUUGUUUAGUGACCACCUGCGGUUUGGCAAGAGAUGCUUUGAACCUACUUCGUGAGAGGAAAGGUGGAUAUGACAUUGUAAUCAGUGACGUCUACAUGCCUGACAUGGAUGGUUUCAAACUGUUAGAGCAUGUUGGACUGGAGAUGGAUCUUCCCGUAAUUAGUCGGUUCCUUUCUUUUACUUAAGGAAUUUCAUUUCAAAGCCAGUCUUUUAUAUUUUAUGUAUACAUGUAUGCAUGCGUUACAUGCACUGUAUAUAUAAUGGAAUGUUGCUUCGGCUUCUGACUAGAUGUGCUUGUCACCUAACAGUGAUGUCUGUUGAUGGAGAGACGAGCAGGGUGAUGAAAGGUGUCCAACACGGAGCUUGUGAUUAUCUUCUUAAGCCUAUACGAAUGAAAGAACUCCGGAAUAUAUGGCAGCAUGUAUUCAGAAAGAAAAUACACGAGGUAAGAGAUAUUGAAAUUCUCGAAGGGAUCGAAAGUUUUCAAAUGACUAGAAAUGGAUCAGAUCUAUAUGAGGAUGGGCAUUUUCUCUGUGGAGAAGACCUUACUUUGAUAAAGAAAAGAAAAGAUAUCGAAAGCAAGCACGAUGAAAAAGACAUUGGUGAUAAUACUUCUGCAAAGAAAGCUAGAGUAGUUUGGUCUGUAGAACUUCAUCAGAAAUUUGUCAAAGCAGUAAAUCAGAUAGGAUUUGAUAGUAAGUAUAUAUUCGAAGUUUCAUUUCAGAAAUUUGGUGAUUGGAUCAUUUCAGGAAUUAUGAAUGUUCAUAUAAUUUAUUAAAACUUGAUAGCAUUGAAUUGUCUGUAUGUGGUUUUCAAUGAUAUAGCCACAUCUUUGUCAUGCUUCUACAGAGCAAUGACAAGUAAUGUCUGUUUGGCAGAAGUUGGUCCAAAGAAAAUACUUGACUUGAUGAAUGUGCCGCGUUUGACAAGGGAAAAUGUCGCUAGCCAUUUGCAGGUAUAAGUCAAGAAAAUCAAUGGAGGAAUAUUAACAUGUUUCUGUCAUUUUUAAACUCAAUAUGUUUUAUGAGCUUUCUUGAUUUUUGAGCAGUACCGUCUUCCUCACUGGAAAGGCUUUCUUCCAUGCAGAAAUACCGUCUCUAUUUGAGUAGAUUGCAGAAAGGAAACGAUUUUAACAAUCCCGUUGGUAUGAUAAAGCAGUCGGACUCACCUUUGAGUGAUUCUGCUGGAAGUUUUGGCUCUCAGAAUUCAAUCAAUUUGCAGCCAACUGAUGUUUCAAAUGGGUGCUACGGAUUUUCUGUCAGUAGCUUGGUUCUUCACAAUGUGGAUCCCAGAAGCCACAAUGGUGAUAGAAAGAUACUUGUUACAACGCCUGUGGCAGAACCCAAAAGAGGCGUAACAGUUGAUGCUCCCAAUCCUCGUAAACCCAGGAUUUCACAGAUGGAAUUUGGUCAUCCCCUUGCACCUCAUUUUAAUGAUGGGUUUAGCCACCUACCAAUGCCUGGUCAGAAGCAGCUUACACGAGCUGAUUAUCCACAGCCUGCUCGAGCCAUCAGUUCUGCACAUUCCUUGACAGAAAGAGAAAUUGGUUGCCCUGUCAAAAUUAAGCCUUCACGUAAUGACUACGGCAGCAAUGCCAGCCAUGUAAGUUCAACAGCAAAUGCAGUUGACUCUAUCCCUCUUCAAACGAAGACCAACUCGACAAAUCAUCAAGUGUCAAGCACUUCUAGUAUGGAAAAUCAAGGCUUGAAUAUGAAUUGCCUUACAGAUGUGGAAUCUUCCAGAAAAAACAUAAAUUUGGGAAUGCCGCCUUUCGCUCCUUUGGAUGAGGACUUGCAAGUACGUUUUGUUCCAGGUGAUUACUAUAUGAAUCUCGGGCUCCAAAACAUAGAGGUUCCGGAAUAUUUUGACCCAAGUCUUCUCACAGACGUACCGAUACACUUGAAUGAUGGGCUGAGGUUUGACUAUGAGUUCUAUGACCCCACAGAAUAUUCUCUAAUAGAUCAAAGCUUGUUUAUAUGAUGAUCUCCGUCUCCCUAAAAUGAUGAAGGAUCACCUGGCUUAUCUUUUUCUGUACCAAUAUAUUAGAGGGGUAAUCUAACUCUGGGUUGGGAUCUUAUAGUUUCGAUCGGUCUGGUCUUGCAUGUUGAAACAUGUAUAAGCAUAAUAAGGUUCCCUUUUCAUGUCUGGCUCAGCUGGUACCUGCAUUACUCUCUGCUGCAUGCUGCAACUCUCUUAUUCCUUGCAAAUUUUGUAAUUACAUGUUAUUAGCUGCUGGAAGUUGAAAUAUGAUCUUCGCACAUCUCAUUCUGAUGCUUUAACUGGAAUGGCUGUGUCCAUUCUAUGCUCAUUCUGCUUGAUUAAUGUAGAGCUAACUCAAUUGACGGCAUUGUAGAACUCUCUCCGAUAAGGUCCAACCCUUCGUUCAGUGGUGGCGCACACUUCUUUCGCCGCUAAACUAAAAUCAACUGCUUUUGUACGUACUAAAUGGACUGGUCUGUCUAUGCAGGUUUUUAAUUGAAAUUGUGUCAAAUACAGCAGAAAUGAACAAAAAACAAAAAGAGGAAAUAAUAGUACAGGGAAAGGAAGAUAGCCAGUUUCUAUUAGAAUUUUAGCUCUAUUCAAACACUAGAAAAUUUUGCUCAAGUGCGAAACCAGGCAACACAUUAUGCAAAGCUAAUAUUUGAGAAAAAAACAGAGAUUUUAUAGUGGUAGUUUGACAUAGCAGGUGACUCGGGGCAAUAAAUAAAUAAAAAUAAAACUAGGGAAAGAAAAAAAAAAGAUGCAAGGAAAUAAAAGCCACGAGGAAGAGACAAUUUAGAGGAGGAUUAAUAUGUGAUUUUUAUUCUAUUCAUCAAAACUGUUUCACAAACUCAACGACUAAUAUAUAAGUAGCAUAACUUAAAAUAUUCAGCUAUCGGGCAAAUCUCAUCAAUAAAAAAUAUUUAAUAUAAAUAACUCAAAUAAAUAAAACAAAAACAAUAAAAUAGACUCAAAUAGGUUCGGUCUCCUAAGCAAAGAGUAACAAUCUGGGUCAUCCUUCGUCGUCUCCAUCUAUAAACUCAUGUAAUAUAUGGUGUGAGUCUAGUGUCCCCACCAACUCUCCUAAGGUUGGAGAAACUCGACCCCAUCAAGUAUAGCUCUAAACGGCUUUAAUGGUACUCCCAGAGAUCUUGAUCAAUCUACUGCAAUAUAUCUCUAGUAAUCUAAAUGCAAUUUAAAUUAGAUUGGCCUACCCAACAAACUAGAAACCAUUAAACUCCAUCAUCCUUAGUAAAAACAACUUGUUUAUCCAGAAUAGCAUCAAUAAUAUCAUUUUAUGUUGAUGUCAAGAUGGAUGAAAAGGGUAGAGAUUUCAAUAAGAUCAUCAGGAGAGGAAUUAAAUGGCAUUUCAAAGGGAUUAUUUGUAAUAAGAUGUGGUUUUUGAUAUGUAACUAGAUCCUCAAUAUUAAAUAUGCAGCUAAUGUCAAAAUCAAGCAGUAAAUCAAUAACAUAAGCAUUUGAACUAACCUGUUAUAGCACUUUGAAUGGUCCAGCACUACGUGCAUGCAAUUUUCGAUUAGUUUUCGAAGGAUACCGUUUGGGUCUAACCUGUAUCAUAACAUAGUCCCUAACAUUAAAUUCAUUGUGUCAUCUAUGUAAAUCAGCUCAAAGUUUAUAUAGUACAUUACUUGCUUGAAUCUGCUUAGUGAUCUCAACAUGCAAAUCUUGAAUUCUACAUAUAAAUGACUUGAUUGACCCACAUACACCCUAACAUAAGGAGACAUGAGAAAAAGGUCUAAAGGCUUACCAUACUUGUAACCAUGUACAACUUCAAAGGGACUCAUGUCUAUCGACCCAUUAACAAAGCUAUUAUAGACAAACUAGGUUGUAGGAAGAACCAAAUCUUAAUUUCCAAUAUGAUCACUUACUAGACAUCUCAAAAGGUUACCUGAACUCCUUAACCACCUUGAUUUGUCCAUCACUUUGGGGGUGAUGAACACUAGAAAACUUCAACUUAGUUCCCACCAUAUGCCGAAGGUUUUCCAGAAAUAAGUCAUAAAUCUAACAUCCCUAUCUGAGACUAUGGUUUUGAGAAGACCAUGCAACUUGACAAUCUCAUCAAAAUAGAGUUCCGCAACUCUAGAAGCAUCUUUGGGUCUUAGUACAAGGGAUAAAAUAAGGUCAUUUUAGAGAAACGAUCAACAACCAUAAAGAUAAAAUUAUGCUUCUUUGUAAUAUGUGGAAGCCCAAACAUAAAAUCCAUACUAACAUCUUGUCAAGGGCAAGUGGGGACAUGCAACAGGGUGUAAAAACCAGUGUUAUGUUUUUUAUGCUUAACUAGUUGACAUGUUCGAAAUUGACCUCCAAACUUAACUAUAUCUCUUUUUAAGUUAGACUGAAAGAACUAAUGUCUUAUCUUUUCAAUUAUUUUAUUUCUUACAAAGUGUCUUGAAUGACCUCCAGCAUGAAUCUCUCAUAUCAAAAAAUCAUGCAUUGAUGUCUUCAUGAUACAAAACUUAUUAUCCUAAAACAAACACCUUUCCUAAAGGUAAUAACCAUCUACAACAUGGUUACUUUCAUCUCUCAAAGUCAUAUUUCUCCAAAUUCUAGACAAGAUUCAUACUUCUUUUUAGUUCUUUUAAAUCUAGUAACUUCAACACUCAUUACGGAUAAUAGUGUUACCCAGCGAUUUAAGGCAUCUACCAUCUUAUUCUCCAUUCUAUAUUUAUGUUUCAAUACAAAUAAAUAGACUUACAAAUAUCCAACCCAACAACCAUACAUGUGAUUGAGCUUCUUUUGGGAGUUGAGAUAGUGAAAGGCUCCAUGGUCGAAGUAAAGAACAAACUUAUAUGGUAGCAAAUAAUAGGACCAAUAACGCAAAGUCUAAUCUACUAUAUAAAAUUCUUUAUCAUAGAUUAAGUAUUUUUGUUUGGCCUCGUUAAGUUUCUCAUUAAAGUAAGCUAUAGGGUGACGUUCUUGACUAAACACUCCACCUAUACCAACUCCUGAUGCAUCAUAUUCUACUUCAAACACCUUAGUAAAGUCAGGAAGAUGCAUUAUUAGGGCCUUUGUCAUCUUCUUCUUAACUUGCUCAAAUGUCUUAUUAGCUCCUUUACUCCAUUGAAACUCACCUUGUUUCAAAUAAUUCAUAAUAGAUAAUAUGAUGGUGCUAAGUUCCUUGAUGAAAUGAUAAUAGAAAAUCGCAAACCCAAGAAAACUACGAGCCUUAUGAAUAUUCUUAUACUUAAACCAAUCUACAAUCAUUUGGAUUUUUUAGGGAUCAACAAAGACUUCCUCACGUGACAUUAUAAACCCUAAGAAAACCAUUCAAUCCUUGAAGAAAGAACGCUUGAAUAAGGUGAUCUAAAUGUUCGUCCUUCGUUUUGUUAUAAAUAAAUAUAUCAUCAAAAUACACCACCAAUAAUUUUUCCUAUAAAUAGCCUAAGCACCUGUGUCAUUACUUUUAUAAAAGUACUUGGCCAAAAUACAUGACUAACCAUUCAUAUAAUUCAUCCUUAGUCUUAGAGAAAAUUUAGGCAUCUGCUAUCAUAUCUAACAUUUAACCCAGUCGAGAAAUUGGAAAACGAUAUUUUAUUAUAAUCUUGUUGAAGAUGUAAUUAUCUACACAUAUUCUUCAUGGUCUAUCUUUCUUAGGUGUUAAAAAGGUAGGUACUGCACAAGGGCUCAAAAUCUCUAGUGCCUUUUAUAACAAUUCAUAUACUUGUCUUUAUAAUUUAACAUGUUCAUUAUGGUUCAUCCUAUAGUAAGGAAAGUUUGGCAAUGUGGCACUAGUAACUAAAUUUAUAGCAUGUUGAAUGUCACACACAAAAGAGGUAAAACAUCAAGUAGCUCAAAAUGAAAGACAUCUAGAAACUCUUUCAACACUUUCCUUACCUCUUUAGGUGGUUUAUUUGAAUAAUUUUUUCUACAACCUCUUUGGCCACUAAAACAAACACAACAUACUUUACACAAACCUCCUUGUCAAACUCCUUAUGACUUAUUAUGUUGAGCCCCAUCUUUUUCACUUUUUCCUUCAUCUUGUUACUAUUAUUAGGCUUUGGUGGUAAUCUAGUAAGUUAAAUCUUUUUACCAUAAAAAACAAAUGAAUAUGAAUUUGAUCACUCAAAGAUGGUAAUGUUCAAAUCAUAUAACCAACGCCUAUCUAAAAUGAUAUGUCCUAUAUCCAUAGAAAUUACAUCACGCCAAAUCUCAUCAUGAUAAUCUAAGAUCUUUAUAGGAAAAGGAUAUAUCUUUUUUAUUGUUGUGGAUGUAUUGUUAACUCAAAGCACAUUGUAUGGUUUAGGAUAUGGGAUAGACUUUAAGCCUAAAUGAUAUAUGCUACCAAAGGAUAUUGUAUCAAUACAAUCUUCGCUAUUUAUAAUGAUCUUGCAGGAUUUAUCUCCACAUUUAAUAUAGGUGUAAAAGAUAGCAUUUCUCCUCCAAUCCUCGAUUCCUUUAGGUUGUGUUAAGGCACAUCUAAUUACACUUAACCUGGUUGUCUCCUAUCCUGCAAAGUCUUUCUUGAUCUGGGCAGAUAUUGAUCUAACACAUUCUAAUAAGUUGGACUCAUUCUCCUUGACAUCUAGGUCUCAUUCUCCUUAACAUCUAGGUCUUGAAAAUUAUCGGGAUUAUGUUCAUACACUUUAUCAUCAUAAUUAUCUUCCUCACUCAUAUUCUCUUAAUCCUUAAUUAACAAAUCCUUAUUAGGACAACUAGAGGAAACAUGACCAAAACCUUGAUACUUAAAACACUGAAUCAUUGAGGUCAUCUUAAAUGCUUCAUGAAGAAUACCCUUACCAUUGUCUUCCCUAGGUAUCUCGGCACCAAUAGGAUUAGGUUUACAGGGUGGAGCACCCAAUAAAGAACUAUUAUUACCAGGUUAGAACCUAGAAGGGAUACUACGGUUGUCCUAACAUUUCGUACACUGACUUUUUAUAACCAACUCGUUGUUUUGCACUACGGUAUAAGCUUCAUUAAGGGUGGACACACCUCUAAGCAUAAUCUCUCUUUUAAGGUCAUCAUUCAAGUCUUUUAGAAAUCUAGAGUCAUUAUCUCAUCCUUCCUAACCAUUCACCUUUUCCUAUACUCAUCAGUUAUAUCAUAUAUUUAUUAGUAGGCUUACUUCCUUACUUGAAGUUAUUCUAUUGGUCUAAGAGAUUUUUCUUAUAGGAACGAAGUAUGUAUUUCUCUUGUAACUUAGUUUUCAUCUCAACCCAAUUAGUAAUAGGAGAUUGAUCUAUCUUAGCCAAAUACUCUUUUACACUUUCCCAAUAGAGUUAAGCAAUACCACUAAGUUUUAUUUUUACAAACCUUACCUCAUAUUCUUAGACAAAUCAUACUAGUAAAAGAAUUGAUCCAUGUUAUAGACCUAACUAUCAAAGAUCCAUGAGUCAAGUUGACCCUUAAAAGUCAAGGCUUCUACCUUGAUAUGUCUCAUGACUCGAUCAUCAAGGUCAUCAUAGUCAUGGUGACCCUAAUUGUGGUUAUAUUAGAGAUUCCUAAGGUGCAUCGGUCUUUGAUGAUAAUUUUUAAAAUGAUUAAUAUUAUUAAGGUUAUCAAAGUCAUUGUGGCUUUAGUGGUGGUCAUGUUGGCAGUUUCUAGAGGGAGUUGUUCUUCAAUUAUUCAUAUAGUUGUCAUUAGAAUGCUCACUCUCACUAGAUAACCUUAUUUGUAAAGUGUUUAUGGGUUUUACUCUCUCAUAAAGGUUGUUCAUUUAUGUAGAUAUUUUGUUCAUAUCAGCUCACAUAAGUUGUAAUUACUCUUGAAUAUUCCUAAGAACAUUACUAAAGGUUGGGUCUAUGGCAAUUAUUGAGUGUUAGAUUUUGUAUUAAACAACCACUCUGUAAAUACAUGCGAUAUUAAUCCUAAAACUAUUAUUGAGAUCACAAAUGACACUGGUAAGUAAAAUGCAAUAUAAAAUUAAAAAUAAUAUUUAAUUAUUUGUUUAUCUUGAAGACCAUGCAGUUUAUCUUGGAGACUAAGCAAUAAUAGAUUAAACUAGGGGAAAAUAGCACGCAAGCAAUGUUAGUCUUUUAAAUGCACACAAGUAGUCUAAACACAAUGUUCCAAAUUUCCCCACAAAUUUAGCAAAGCUCCGUAAUUAAUUAAGAGGAUCGAAUAUUCAAGAUAAAUGAAUCAAUAAGCCAAAAAGUUAUGGUAGCUCAAAUUGCAAGACAUUUUAUAUAUUUUUAUAGUCAAGCGUAAAAAAAUAUUAUCAAUGUUAAUUCUUGUUCAACAAGUGCAAAAUAUACCAGGAAUAAUGAUAUUUAAUGGUUAAAAGAAGUUUGUAGAGGCUUAUUGACCAGAUUGUAAUGGAAAUAUGUUGAAAUUCACUACAGAUUAUGUAACGCUGACGUGGCAAAGACUAACGACAUGGAGAUGACAUUGGAUUGGUGAAUUAAAAUUCCUUAAGAGACUUUUUGUUGGUUUCUUUGUUGCUGCUGAAGACAAGGAUCUAUUAUGGCUGUUGAAAGUCUAUGGUAUCGAUCUGUUGUUAACGACUGAAACUGAGGUUACGGUGGUUGGGGGGUGGUUGGGGUGGCUAACUGGUGGUGUAGAUGUACUAAUCUAUUGGUUAGAGCGUGGCUGGAUGAGAUUGGUUCUUCGUUAAUGGCAGGAUGAAAGUAUAACAUGCUGGAAGCGCUGGCUAGAGGACUGUUAUGGUAGCACUGCUGGAGAAGCCCAAUUUGCUCCAGUGGCUGCGUGGGGAUGAAUGGUGGUCAUUUGGCUAAGAGCAUAGUAUGUCUAGGGUUUAGGAGUGCUAGAUCUAUGUUAAAGAUGAACAAUAUUUAUUUUUUUAGUUGUAAUGAGAAAGGCUAAAGGUUUUUUUAUCAAGUCUACAUCAAUAGUUAAUUCUGAUUCAAUACAAGCCUUAAUAGAUUAAUUAAUUGUAAGAAUAAUUAAAAGUCUAUGCUCUAAUACUAAAGUUGAUGUAGGACAAUAAAUAAAUAAAAUAAAGCUGGGAAAAAAAGAAAUAAGCCAAGAAUUAAAAGUAAUGAAUGAAAAUCCAAGAAAAAAAGAGAGUUUAGAGGAGGAUUAAUUUGUGAUUUUUAUUCAAUUCAUUAAAAUUAUCUUACAAAUUGAAUAAAAAAUAUAUAAAUAGUAUAAUCCUAAAAUAUCUAUUUAUUAGAGUUAGCCCAUUAAUUAAAAUUAUAUAACAUAAAUAGCCAAAAUAAAUAAAACAAAAACAAUAAAAUAGGCUCAAUAUUCCAAAAGUUGCUGGAGGGUAAAUUUUUGUUGUCUCCGUCUAUGAACUUGCAGCAUGUCAGGGAACAAUAGUGCCAACCUUUUCAACGUGGAGUGAAAGAAUAAUGCCUUCUAUUCUAUUGUCAAACCUCUAAUUUAUUACAACAUAUUGCCAAAACUAUUAACGUCCACAAAGAAACAGAAAAAAGAACUUGUAUAAAAAUGCUACUUGAUGUUGAAAGCAGCCCUCAACAAAAAAUACAAACUCCCCAUCAAUAAUACCCCCCUAAUCUAAAUUCCACUGCCUUCAGUGGAUUAUUUUCCUUCUGUAGAGUGUAAUUAUAAAUGAUGCAAAUCUUCACAAUCACUAGCUGGGUUGAUCAAUUCUUCAAAAGAAAUACAGUGCGGAUGUUCAUGGCACCCUCACUUUAGGAGCUCACCACAGGAUAUUUGGAGAAGCAUUCUCAAGUGCUUUCUUCUUUGGUAGCAAGUUGACAGGGCAAGUUGAGCUAUGGUUACUUUUCUGUAUAAAAGGCUUGGAAGUUUCAGCAUUGACUGAAGGUCUUUGAUGAAGUUGAAGACUUGCUUCCCGUACCGCAUUGGGGGUUGACUUCCUUCCAAGUUUUGGUGAUUGAGGUCGUGUCAGAGGGAUCUGCAAAACAUGAUUGAUCUGUAAGACUAAAAAAGUAAUGCAUCUAAGCCCAGAUCUUGAACAGUAUCUCUACUUGUUUUCACCCCUGGCCCUAUGAAAAGGGAAAACCUUCUCCUCCACGGAAGAAAUACAGGAAGGAUCAGAUUUUCCGUGAUUAAACUUCUCAAGUAGGCCAACGUAGGAAGUUAUUUCCAAUGACUGAACUUCUAGAUUAUACCUACUUAGCAAGUUCGUUUUCAAAUUUCAUAGUAUUAGGUUCUUCUAACUGUUAAGCUUAUGCCAUAACAGUUCUAAAUUACAAAUUACAGCAAAAUUUAGCUUCUCGAUGCACCUCCCAUUGACCAUGAAGUCAACUUUAUCAUAUUGAGAAGUUGGGGAAAUAGAUAUAAGACGAACCUUCUUCAUUGAAUUGUAUGGAGAAUGUAAUCCACGAUGCAAGUCAUCACUUGGUUUCCCUCUGAAGACAGCACUCUGUCUUAGUUUCUUAAGGUCAUGCUCUGCCUUCUCCUGGACAACAUUAACGGGAAAGAUAACUUUUUGAAAUUGACUUUAUCAAGAAAAAGGAUAAAAUUGAAGUCCACAGUUGUAAACAGAAAACAACUUCUAAAAAGAAAAUAUUGCAUGGAUUUGACAACAAGUUUGUAAAAAAAAAGGAUUUUGGCUUAUAUUUCAAAAAUACCAAAAAUUUUGGUUGGAAUCAUUGGGUACCAAAGGAAACUGAUCAUUUUAACAGUGGUAACUCACACCACCGUACGAACACUACAAUAAAGUUAUGUGAGAUGACCUUAGGUCUUGCAUGCAGAUGCUUUUUUUCUGUGUCCUCCUUUGCAUUGUUUUUCUCUCCUAGCUUCUGAAAGAACUAGAACAGCCAGUAAAACGAGAUAUCAAAACCAUGACAUUAUUGCAAGUAAGGAAUUAAUAGAAAAACUACAGAGAUUAAUCUUGCCUCUUUUCGUUUUGCCACUCUUUCUUCACUUCUAAAGCUAAAUGGAGAGGAUAUAAGUGGAGGUCGUGAUUUGCUUCCUUUUGCACUUGAUGAUUUCGAGCAGCUGUAGUUCUAUAAGUUUAGAAUAACGUUGAAACAUAGGAAAAAUGGUGCUUCUCUGUUCUAGUUACUAAUUAUUCAUUCUCCAUGUGGAAUGAGCAAUCAAGAUGAAGAAUGCAAGACUGCCACAAACUUAAAAUUUAAUUUUAUGUUUUCAGCUAUGAACAUAAAUUAUCAAUGAUGCAUUCAGUGUGUUAUACUCUCUAGUUCAGUAGAAGCAAACAUGACUGUGGCAUGAGUAACAUGGUACAGACAAAAAAGAACCAUUCAGGAAACCCAGGAGCAAAGUCCUUACUCUGAAGAGAGGGUCUGUGAUAUUUCACCAGGUGUAAUUUUUCCUGAAACUGACUUGUUGAGCUCUGACUUACUUCUGCGAGGAUAAACUGUGUCAAUGAUAACAAUUAGAGAGGGCCAGCUACUUGUGUUUGUAGAGACAAAAUACCUUCUAUCUUGUGAAUGCCGAAAUAUUAAAGGAAGAAGCUUUGAUACACCAUGAACAGAUCCCUGCAGUUUAGACAAAAUUCAUCUUGGUGGGUUACAAGAUUCUUACUGGUGUGAGUAAUAAUUGAAGUGUGUGCACACAUGAGUGUCUAUACUGCAUAAAAUGAUUAGCAUCAAAUAAUCAUGGUAUGAGGAAUGGAGAUACCCUGGUUAGAUUUUCUGGAGUAGCGGACCUGUCUUUAGAUACUCUGACAUAACUUUUGUUGGUGUCUUGCAAGCGAGAAGCAAAAUUGAUUGACACAUGGAUAGAUUUUGAAGUUGCUCUCUUUUCACCCACCAAUUCUCCAGCAGACUUCUUACUGUUUGGAGUAGCAUUUAGUCUUGUGGAACUUGACAGUUUGGCAGAAGACUUAGGAAGUUUCGAUGCUCUACUCUGACUCAAUGAGUUUGAUAAAGAACUCAUUUGCCUUUUAUUAUUUGGUAAAGCUACAUUCUCCAUUUCAGCAGCUUCCUGAUUGGGAUGGUUGUUUACCUUAUUGGGCAUCUUCUCUUCUGGCAUGGCCACAAUAAUGUCACAGUCGUCAGCAUUUUCAAUCUGCUUUGAAUUUGCCACGUGAAUAGAGUUUUCCACCUCAACAUUCUUUUCUUCUACCACUUCAUCUCCUUCCACCUUUGCAUUUUGUGAAUUAUCCAUUCGACCAUCAGCAUAAAAUGCAUUUGCAUCAGAAGAAUGAACUAGGCCAGCAUCAAAAAUCCCCUCAUCUUGUUCAUUGAUGAUCACUUCAUUGGUUGCUUUAGAAAACUCCAAAUUAACAUGAGAAAUGCUGGGAGCCUUGUCUGCAGCUUCUACUUCAGGAACAUCCUUAGAUGCGGCGUUUGCUUGCUCAAGCAAGGCUGCUGCUUUCAUGGCUGCCCUCUUCUUGUAAUAAGCCUCGAAAUAUGCCUUCUUCUGGGCAACAGAACCUGGCUUGGAAAACUGCUCAACUUCUUCUAAGAAGCGAUUGUGACUAAAGGUUGACCACUUCUCCCAAGCCAAAGAUUCUGACAUAAAUCUCCCGAACGAGAUUGAUUCAGUCAGGGCUAGAAUGGGAUUGCCCUGAAACUCAAAAAUAUUUUACAUGUUUGCUCAGUGAUUUCUUUAAUGCAAUUCAUUAUUAUCUAUUUCAAACCAAUGAUAUCCAUAAAACAAUUAACACAAAAUGCAAAGAAACUCCAGAGACUCGGUGUCUUCUUUAUUAACUGAAACAAAAAAGAGCCAUAAUCUUGAUGAAUGCCAGAUAUAUUAAAAAAAGCCAUACUCAAGUCCAAAAGAAGUUUCAACAAUGGAAAGAAAAAAGGCAAUCAUCAACACGAGGAUGUCCGAAAAUGAGAUUUAACGAAAGCCAAUCAAGGCUGCAUUUAAUCAAAUAUAUGCAAUUCUCCGGAAAAUAUUAGCAGUUACGGAAAAUAAAAGGAGAGCUUAAAUUACUUUCGUUUCAAGUGUUCAAAGCAUUGAACAAAAUCAAGAACAGCAGUAAUUAAUUCAAUAAAAACGAGUAAAUCCUCAAAGCAUUAUGGUCUGUUUGACAACCCAAAAAGCAAAAGGAAAAUGAGCAACAGAAUCUCACAACAGCCAUUUUUCCAUUUCACCAAAAACCCCAGUAGUCAUAAUUUUUUCAAGAUGUCUCAAUAUCACAGGCAAAAUCACAACAAUUGAAGCAAAACCCACAAAAGAUCACUAAAAACAACACCAAAACAGAAAAACCAUUCCUUCAAACCCCAGAGCAUGAUAAGACAAGACAUGAAAAAAA
rnacentral:lncRNA from 1 species